UUUUUUUUUUUUUUUUUUUUUGCGGGAUAACUCAAGGAAUUCUAGGAAGAAUAUGGCUAAACCCUCUAAUGUUCGUCUAGGUUAGGUAUCUACAUUAGUAAACUGAUUGAAGCCACAUUCAAAUCGGAGAUCGAUGAUGAUCCAAUAAUACGAGGAUUGGCUCAAAGUUAUUCCCUAGUUAGGAGAAUUUUGCUAAUUCUUCGUUUUUCUUUUGGGUACGUAAAAAAAAAAAAAAAUUUUAAACAAAGAAAUUGAGAAUCGAAUUAAAAACUUCUUCCUUUUAUUAUUAUUUGGUUGAUUCACUUUUGUCUUCUUCCUUUUAUUAUUAUUAUUUUUUUGUAGUGAUCUGAUCACUUAAUUAAAAUUCAGGAGCGCUUCUAGUAAUGUGAGGGCUUAUUUGGAUAGUGAGUUUUUUGCACAAUUUUAUUUGUUUACGUUAUCAGUAUAUUUUUCAAUCACAUUUUUAUUUCACGCAUAUCAUAUAAAAAAAAAGUGAUAUAGUAUUUUUAAAAAAAAUUUAUUUCAAAAAAUAAUCUGCUAUCCAAACACACUUUUUAUUAAACUAAACUAAUUGAUUAACACAGUAAUGUGAAUGUAAAGCCCUAGGAUUCAUCAAUCCUUGUCGCGAGGAGCUUGUAUUCAUUUAAUAAUAGUGGAGAAUAUGUGUCAAGUAUAGAUGAUAGAUUCACUUGCGUUGUGAUGGUAAGAGUCCUCGUUCAGUGCCAAGAAUUUCGUGCCAUCUUUUAUCACAUGGUCUCUUAAUAAUUAACACGACAUAGGGCACGUUUUACCAAUCAAAUGUGGAAUCAACAAAGGCAUUCUGUUCGUUGAGGACCUAAGGUUAUUGAAUAAGGUACCUUUGAUUCAUAUUCUUGAUCAACAUCAUCGAAUUAUAUGCAUUGCAUUAUGCCCUGCAUCAUCAUUGAGCAAAGGAAACACACCCCUCACCCCUCAGUUGAGAUAUUUUCAAUUGCCUCUUUAGACAACUCAACUUAAUUAGAUUUUAUAUAUCAUAAAUUUUGCAUAUAAUUAAAUGUGUGAGAUUAUAUUAUAUUAUAAAGUUUUAACCUAGUUGUCGACGAGGUUGAGAAUCUAUGAGUUAGAGAUUCUGAAUUUAAGUAAAUCUAUAUUAGAUUUCAAUCUUCAAUCCAUUAUUUGUGAGUUAUAAAUUGGAAUAUCAUUAAACCAUUUAUUUUUUUGACCAUUAUGAGUUACUCAUAGUUAUUUAUAUGAAGAAUAAAGUUAAUAUUUCGGCUAGAAAUGUUCAAAGGAGUACCUUAGAGAAGUGACUUCUUAAUUAGACAACAAAGUGCAGACUAUUUGAUAAGACGUUUACGAGUCAUCAAGGAAGCAAGUAAAGUAAAAAACCACCGUUGAUCAUCUUUGUGAAAAAAAAAAAAAAGUAAUAAAAAGGGUGACUUCUAAGCAUUUAACAAAUGUUCAAAAGGGCAAAGUUCAAACCGUUGGAGGUAUUGGGGAAUCUUGAAUAAUCAAUACUUAAUUGAUUAAACUCUCUCAACAUUAUUGUUCAAUAAUUUAACGUGAGCUAGUUUGUGCCGUUAUAACCUCUCUCGAUAAAAUAAUUGACGAAGUAAUAUUUAUUUGCAAAACGACUUCAAUAGAUGAUACCAUUUCGAGCAGAUACCUCUUGUUGAUUAGGCUCUUUGGAGAUGCUAAUAACAGUUCCAUUAGAUCGACUUUACGGGGGAAUCUUCAAUAAUCAAUACUUAAUUAGUUCGCAGUUCCAUUAACUCAUCCACCAUACAGGGGAAUCUUGAAUAAUCAAUACUUAAUUAGUUCAUAGGAUUCCAUCUUCAUUUAACUACUCUAUUGUUAAUUUGACAUAGUUUUACUGCCAACUGUGUGUCGUAGAACCAUUUAUAAAAUAAAAUAAGCGUAUGUGUUAGGUACCCGUCAUAGUUAAUGCACAAUAUAAUACUUUUUUAUCCUUUGACUGUGCACAUCAUUCUUUAUUUAUACUCGUAGUAGUACUGAUUAUGUCUUGAUUCGACUCUCACGCCCUUCUUUUUUUUUUGGUGUAUCUAAAAUUUUUAUAUUUAUAUCUAUUUUCAAAAAAAAAAAAAACUAAAAUUAGGUCUAGAACAACACACCAACAUCACAAACCCCCUUUUAUUUUGAGGGUUUUAAAUUCAGAUCUAAAAUCAUAUAAAAUAAUCAAACGAGAACACCCAAUAAAGGGCACUACUAGUAGUACAGCAUUAUUCCUCCUGUCCUGGCCCAAGUCGAAGCUUAACAGAAAAGACUUAUGGAGGAAUUAAUAAGUAAUAGUGUCGACAUGCUCUGUCAUUUGGUCGCCAUAGCCCUUCACGUGUGAACCGUGAAGUGAAGGGCUGCUUGUUUCUUAGGCAGCAAGUUUCGAUACAGUCCGAGGUUGCUCGCAUUUUGCCGCCGCUGUUACUGUUAUCUUUCGAAGACAAACAAACUGCCCCCUUUUGUCUCCUUCGUUUAAACCGCCAUUACCGAAGCAAACAAGUUGAAGUUAUCAUCCUUUCAUACCUGUGUUGUUCACAUUAUACUACUAUUAUUUAGUCUAUUAAAUGUUACUUGGCAAUUUCUUGUUGGUUUCCCAUAAAGCAAAACACACGUAUGAUAACAUAUUUGUAUUGUUUCAGAAAAAGUAGCCAAGAUUAGUACUAGUAUACAAGACAACAUAUUUGUAUGACUUGAAACAGUUUGGAUUAGCUGUUUUUGGGAGUGUUUUUGAAAAACUUUAUUGUAACAGAGUUUUUAGAGUAUAUUUUGAAAUAUUUUUUAUUGACACUUUAUUAUGAGAUAUUUGGUAAAAUUUUAAAAAAAUUUAAACUAAUUUUUAGAUUAUCUUUUAGAGUAUUUUAUUGUAACUUUUAUUGUAUUUGAAAAAUUAAUUUUUGAAAAACACUCCAAAAACAGGAGAUUCAAACAGAGCCUUAUUUGAAACGAUUUUUUCAUUUUUAGUACUCCUAUAAUUCCAAACGGAUUCCUAGAAUAAUGAUUUGACUAUUAUGUGGAAGAAGAAGUCAAGGGCGGGGGAUUCCCCAGGGAACAGGCUGGUUAUUUAUCUCUAUUAUCAGAGCAUCGGUCCGGCGGUCAAAAAGGAAAGAAGGCGGGGCGAAGUUCACGGGAAACCACUUAAUGCAUUCCAUUCUAUCUUGGCGGCCAAGGAAGUAAUCAGUAGUAGACUAGUAGUCCAUAGAUUAGAAAAAGAGGUCAAGAGUCUUGCUAGAAUACCAGGCAGGGCUGGGCGGUUGUCAGUUAGACAAAUAUGAAGCAAUUUCUUUUUCUAGAAGGUGAGAAUGGAAUUUACUGUAUAUUACAAUGUACACCAACUAAAAAUUUAACAAUCACUACUGUGAGUUACUUAUGUAUUUUUUUUAAUAGAAAAAAGUGGGAUUUAAGAAGCAAUAUUUAAAGGAGAAAGGGAGGUUUGAAUUCAAGAUUUUUUUUACUCACUUGAUUAAGGGUGAGUUUGAUAAAAUUUAAAUUUGUUAAGUUACUAAAUUGUUUAGUUCUGAAACAUUAAUAUUUGAGCAUUUUUUUAUAUUAAGUAAUAAGUGUACAGUUUAUUAUUUAUUUUUUUGGAGAAAGUUUUGCCUAAAUAAUUUAGAACUUAUUCUAUUUUUUUGUUAUUAAACGUAUCUGAACAUAUUAAAUGUCAAUCCAUUAAAUUUAAGUGUGGAAUAUAUUUUUAUAAAAUGUUAAUAACACUACUGCUUUAUUUGCUAAUGACAACAAAUUGAUUUAUUAACUUAUGUGAUAAGAUAAAAAUGCCUUUAUUUUUUUAUAUUAGUUAAAACUUUUCAUAAAAGGGGUGGAUUGUAAGCGUAACGAUAUUUUUGUUUAAUAAAAAGGUGGAAAAAAAAAAAAAGAAGAAGAAGAAAGGUGCCUGGUAUUAGCAUCAAUUGUCAAUUGUCACUCAACAGGAGAAGCAGCAAUAACACAGCUGAAAAUCAGAGUGGCUUUGAUCUGAACAAGAAAAGAAGGACAAAGUUUCAGAGUUCAAAUUUACCUUCCCAACAGAUUGGAUCCUACCAAUUUUGUUGUAUUGGAAUUCAGGUCAUGUGGCUUCAUCUGUCACCAGCCUAACACCAUACACCUAUCCAAUUGCGCGUGCAAUCGAGACCACUUUUUGUGUCGGCCCACAGUUUGAAGACAUGUGUGUUGACUACUACUGGCCCACUUGGUUAACUUGGCUUUUCUUGCUCAGCCUCUAGCUAGCUAGUAUUGCUUAUAUACAAAAUUUCAUGUCACAUCCUCCAACACCUAAGUCUUAACUCGACUGAUAGGGAAUUAACCAGAUAUUAGGUCCUUGAUUUAGUCCUCUUGGAAUCGAAAUGUGCUUGAAGUUUAUAUGGUGGAUGUAGGGUCAAAAGGGUAGGAUUUGCAAUAAUCUCGAACAAUUGAUGUUUAGAAUAUCAUCAUAUUAGACCGAUAAUUGUAUGAAUAAUGUAAUAUUAGCGCAGUCAACGCCUUUUUAACGGAUACAUUUUUUUUUUUGCUUCCUCUAAAUUUGCAAAUGUUAUACUGCAUGUGAUAAACGUAAGUAAUUUUUGAUUUAAAGAGAGAUUUCAGAUCUUACGAGAGAAAGAGAAGGGAAAAUGGAAAGAUUUGAAGAUCGAAUCAGAAUCCUCAUUCCUCAUUGUUACGUGAGUAACAUCUACCCCGAAUAAAUUGCAUCUUGGAAACGACAAAUAUGCGUAACUGUUUGGAUUGUAAGUUAUUUGGGAUUAUUUAGGAUAUUUUUACUGUAGCACUUUUUGUGAUGUGAUGUAUGUGAGAUAAAAAGAUAUUGGAAAGAUAAAAAGGUGUAUUGAAAAUUGUAAAGAUGAUGUAAGCAAAUAAAAUUGGAGAAAUAUGAAGCAAUCCAAACAAACCUGAGGAUUGGUCUUUAUUUCCCCAAAUAUAUUUGCUUACAUCAUCUUUACAAUUUCCAAUACGCCUUUUUACCUUCCCAAUUAACUUUUCAUCGCACAUACAUCACAUCACAAAAAGUGCUACAGUAAAAAUAUCUCAACUAACUUACAAUCCAAACAAACUUAUUAUGAUAGUAGUAUACAAUUCAGUCUAAACCACUAAAGAAUAUUGUGUUUAAUUUUGUACGAUGCGAUCAUCUUCAUGCCCCAUAUCCAAAUCCGUGGGUAUUGGGUGGUUUUGACUCUGAACCAUGUUGAAGAAUUGUUCAACCUAAUAUUUUUGUUUGGAACGCGUGUUAGAAUAUCUUCGUUAGGGAUAUAAACGAGUAUAAUCAGAUCGAUCAUUCUGGAAACUUAAACUUAUUUGAUUAUCUCAACGAUUUUGAUAUUUAGUUCAAAUUUGACUUAUUUAUUUGUUAAAUCGAAUUUAAACAGUGUUAUCGAAUAUAAAAUAUAAUUUAAUUUUAAUUUAAAUAAUUGACGAAUCAAAUUCAAAUGAAUUCUUAUUAAAUUGGACUAAUUUCGAGUAUCAAAAAUAAUUUCGCUCAUCUUUAAAUUCUAGUUUUCCACAGCACAACCACCACGAUUGUGGCCCAUUCAAAUGAUUUGAUAUUGGUAAAAACACUAAAAGGUAUUGCUUGACAACUAGAUGCCAGUAGUGUUACAAAGAUUUUCCGCAUUUUGGGACUACGGCAACUGCACCUGCUGCAGUUUUUGUAAUGAUGAUAUUAUGAUAGUGGGGUGGAACCAAUUAUUAUGGCCUUAGCAUUUUCUACUUAGCCGAUUCUUUGAAAGGAAUGUGGUCAAUCCACCACUCUCUUCCAAACAUCAGUUGUCUCCCUGAGUUACUGUAGCAACUUUUUUGCUUAAAUAUUUCUAUUUCAGUUUGCAAAUGCUGAAACUUCACAAACAUUUGUUUGAAGUACAACGAAUUACCACAUCAAAAAACCUCACUUGUUGGAGCUCUAACUAUUUGUUGAUCGAUUCUAACUCGAUGAACUCUGCGGUUAUAUGAGAGCCAACCGCUUCUCCGUCUUAGGCAAAUCCGAUUUAAUGGUAGGUUGACCAUUCAAUAUAUGAUAUAAUAUGAAUCUGACCUAAUUGCGACGCUGAUACAGUAGUGAUUAGAGACCAACUAUCUUGAAUUGAACUUUGAGGUGUCAAAAUUGAAAUGACAAAUGCUCUAGCUGAAUAGUGAUCAGAUGAAAAUAAAAUUUCUCUCACAAUCUUGUUAGUGAAUUACUGUUCAAGGGUAACACAAACUGCUUUGUUUGGAUUGCAUUUUUCUGAAUUUUUUUUGUAAAAAAAUCACUGUAACGAUUUAAUAUAUGUGAGAUAAAACAGUCAUUAAAAAAUGUGUUCACGGAAGGGACACGUUGCAAUCCAAACACAUGAUUUCAGCAUGAAUGGGAAGAAAUGGACAAAUUAGCAGAGAAUAAACUACCUAGAAAAUUCCUACACUAUUCUAAUAGUUAACUUUUAGCUCCUCAUUUAUUUGAAGUCUUAAAUUAAUUCUUCAAUAAUUAAAAGGAUCAAUUUUUUUUUAAAAAAAAAAUUCUUCAGUCCAUUCCCACCAUUAGAUGCGUCAAAAUUUGCCCUUUGAUACUCAUGACCAUUAACGAUGGACACAGACUAAAGGAUCAAAAUUUAAUGCUUUCUGUUAUUGAGGGCCAAAAGUUGAUGAUCGGAUUAGUUCGAAAACUAUCUUUAAGUAGUUUACCCAAUUAGCAUAUAUCAAGAUUUUGGAGUGCUAACUUUAGACCCUACCCUCCCCCCCAAAAAAAAGGAAUAAACAAAACCCCAUUAUUUGGCUCUUUGAACAAAAAAGGGUCGAAAUCUUAACUUCCCUCGUUAUGGAAGGCCAAGUUUGCUAGUUUAAAAUUCCACUUAAGCAAGUAUUGUGACAAGAAACAUUAUUAAUUGUUUAGUUUUCUGCAAAGUGUACCAUAAAGAAACUUGAAAACUUCAGUUGCUGUUUCUGCAUUGUCUAAUUCGUAUCUUGUCCCCACAAAAUGAACUUAUCAAAAGCUUACAACAAAAAAGCAACCUAUGUGAAUUGCAAUCAGAUAGCAAACUUAUUCUUUUCUCGAAUUACUUAUCUUUGUCUAGAGAACUCCCUAGAGUUAGCCGGCCUUACCACAUUGUUUAUUCCUUGCUAAAAAAAACAUAUAUACCAUCAGUAGAAUUUACAAAGUAGAAGGGAAAAAAUUGACAGAUAUACUAGAUGCCAAAUUCACUAGAAGGAAUCUAUUUUCCAAAAAAUGUGACAAGUAACCAACAUAACUGCCGAUCCAAACUUUGUAUAACUUUCGGUUUUGAUGUGAGCCCUUGAGAAUGAAAUCUCAGGGUGACUGUGUGACGCCUGGAUUUGUGGUCCAAAUCUCUACAAAUUAAUAAGGAUUAUACGAACUUAUUUGUUAUCUGCAGGGUCCAUAUCUUUCUCCCGAAGUGGGCAAUCCACAAACAAAAACCCUACCCUCAAGUGUGAUCCUUCUUUCUUUUUUAUCUAGAUAUAUCGGUUGUUUGUCCUCUUUGAUUGCUAUCAACAUCAGAUAUUGCAGCAUAUAAAUUUAGUGAACGCAAACAUUUGAGAAAUAAAAAGAUUUGAUGCACAAUAAUACGUGAAAAUUGUGAUUGAUGCAUGGAACUCUAUAUAUAUACAUGCAUACUGUUUCUGAGUUCUAAAAUCUGCGAUUAAUGAUGUGAAAAAAAAAAAUUUUUUUUUUGAAAGAUUUUAGGAUUAUUCCUGCAAUUAGUCUUGGAUGUCAAAAUUUUGGAAUUUCAAUGGAGGAGAGAGUGAAAAGAAAUCAAGAAAAGAGAAAGUAACGCGGCUUAAAGGACCCGCGCAGCAUAAAAGGCCAGAUAAUAUAAUUGGACCCUUAAUUAACUUUCCAAACCACCAUUUGUGAUGCUUUCUUCUUGAUAAGUUGAUGUAAUUGUGCUUUCAUGUCAAUUUCUAAAAGUGAAGAGCAAAUAGUGAUUCAAACAAUUCGAUGAAUACUUAAGUGCCUAUAAUGGUCUCUGGGAGCUAGGGUACUUUAGUGCCUAAAAUGCAGCAUGCUUUAAUUCUAGUUUUAGAGGAUCCUCUUUUUGUUGUCUUUAAUUAAACAAUGGUAGUCCUAACACUUUAACCUAUUAGUUUGCAGUCAAGUUUAUUUAGGGUAAAAUGGAGUUAAAUCACAGAAUAUACAUGAGUGAUUGAGCUCAAAGUCACGAGUUAGAAUAAAAUCUAUGUCAAAAAGCUCAACUCAAUUUUAUUAAAUGUUCUACUUUGUUAAUUUAGAGGUAAAACUAUUAGACGCUACAAAUGUCUUCCACCUAAAAGAAUACAACAUCUUUUAGAUUAUCACAUUUUUGUUUGGAGAUAAGGAUUUCAUUAUGUCUAUUGUAAUUAACAAAUGCUUGACCAGUUUCAAGCUUUUCAUCAUUGAAGAGUUUAGUCCCAAGCUUGAUUCACAUGACUGUAUAAUGGUUCAUUAAGGAAGUGAGAUGAGAAAGGGUCUACGAUGUGAUGAGUAGCUCAAUUUGCUCGCUAGCUACCAAGUCGUCAAGAUAAUGCAUACAAUUUUGUUAUUGACAGAAUCAAGCAAGUUUUUUCUUUUUCUUUUUUUUUGCUUCCAUGGAUCAUGUUGUUGUUCGAUAUAUUGUAUGGUGUUUGAUGGGAUGAUCUUUAUUUGCUUAAUUUGAAUACCAAGAUUUCACUGCCAAACAGAGAAAAUCUCAAAACGGAAACAAUUAAGUGGAGUUGUUGUUUUCUGGAAUCAAACAAAAAGCAAAGCAUUCCAACCAAGCCACACAUCAUUCCUGUUGCAAAGUUACAUUUGAUGGCAUUUUUCCAUCAUACAACUUACUUUUUCUCAAUUUUUUUAACUCAAAACAAAGUCUAUACCCCAAAGUAAAAUUGUUUAUUUAAAAGUAAAUGAUGGGACUUGAUCAAAUGAUAAGGUUAGCAAAAGUUAAAAUACGUAGGUCUAGGCCCCUAAUUAGUUACUACUUCAUAAACGUACUUAGAUUUUUUGAAAGCCCCGGAAAGUACAAUUGUCUUUUUAUCGCUGAGAUAACAUUAUUAUUAAAUCUCCUUUCAGAAAUACAAUAUUAUUCUAUUUCGCAUAUGUAUCUUGCUUUAAUCAUCCACAGUGAAAUGAUUUAAUUUUUAAAUAUCAAUUAUUUAUGGUACAUUCUAAGUAUGUACAAAUCUCUAAAAGCUGAAACACUUAUACGAUUAUGCCUAAGAAUAGAACAAGAUAUACCUGUGGGAUCUAGAGUCAUUAUGAAAAUGAUGAGAAAAGAGGGGAUAAGUUCAAUUGAUCGAACUAUUCUAGCAUAAUUAUGAUGGUCAGCUGGUACAGAUAGACAAUACUACUAUUAUGGAAAUAUUCAUGGUUCUUAUCCUCAAGCCCUCCAAACUUCUUUGAACUGGAUAUGUCCUGAAUGUGAGGAAAUUAAGAAAAGAAUCAUAUAUUUCGUGAAAAUUGGAUGCAGAUUCCAAUUCUAUAAAAGAUCAAAUAUCAGGGUUUGUACCAGAUCUCCUUAUAAGAAUGCGAUGCCUUCAUCUUUCAAGGUGUAGAUUAUUCAAAUAAGGCAUUAUUGUAUAUCUUCAUAUGUCAAGCUCACAUCAAAGAUCUCUAGUGCAAAUCAAUAACUUCGUUAAGUUGUAUGCAUGUCUGUAUUUUGGAGAAUAACGUGUUAUCAGACAUUUGGAGAUGGGAUUCGAUCUCAAGAACAUAAAUCCUUAGGCUUAGAUUGAGUCAUAAUAAGAGAUUGCCAAAGACUUCCUUGUCAACUGAGCUUCACCAUCCUGUUUAAGAGAUCACAUGAAUAUUACUUACUAAAAGAUAGCAGGGAUAUGAAAAGUCUGCUGUAUAAAUAUCCAAACAAUUUGCAACUUUUGAUCAUCAAACUAGCCUUAUCCGAAAACAGCCAAUUAACUGAACAUAAUCAUUGUUCAUAACCACACAUGUCAUCUGAUAUUGCAUGAUCUCCACACAUACAUCCAAAAAAACACACACAUAAAUCUCUUCAUCCUUGAAAAUAAAAAAUUCCAUUUAUCCACUAGGAUCUAUAGGCGGCAUAUCCUUCCAACACGGGCAUGCAUAGUGGAGAACUAUAUCUUCACUAGCUAGUUAGAGUGUACAAGUUUGUUUCUUUUGCUAAGCAGUCUCUCCAAUCUUCCAUGUGCUUUGCCUUUUUAUCUUCAUGCGUGUUUACACCUUGAAGCUCACUUAGAAAAAAAGGUAAGAAAAAAAGCCAACAACUGAAGCAAAAUCAAGAUAGAACAAACCUUUUUACUUUAUUUAUUUAUUUUUUGAUAAUCUUUUAAUCUCAAUAUCUCAAUGCCUUUUGGCCCUUUUUCCAACUGAAACAGUUGGUGAUUUGAAACAAUGGAGGGACCUUCCUACAAGGUUCCAAGUCGGCAUUGUGACCUUCCACGUGGAUGGCAAUAACGUCAAAAUUUUAAAUAAUGAAUCGAGAUUAAGUAUGAAAUUAUUGUUGUUAUUUAGGUGACAUGAAAUUCCUUACUUUAAUUAACUAAAAAAAAAAGAUUAAUUGAUAGGGUGAUUACAUAGCCUAGGUGAUUUGAUUUGAUCUAUAUCAAAAGAUCAACUAAAUAAACGAAAAAAGAUAGAAGGAUGUGGGAUGAACUGUCCACUUAUUCUGCUCUUUAGUCUUUACUACACGUGUGCAUUAACCUUAAUCGGAUGCUUCAACCUAAGCCAACAGGAUUAUAGCUUUUAAUCUUGCCAGGCAAAUGCUGCGUCGUUGCUUUAAGUGUUAUGAUCAAGCACGUCCAGAUCAAAACUAUGCAUCAGCAUAUUUUGAUCACAGCUUAGGGGAAUUAAUUGCUGAUAUGUUUACGCCAUAGCCGCCUCCAAGUUAGUACUAUAAGUUUGCCUUUUCAUACCAAAAAAAUUUUUAGUACGUACGGUGCGCUACGUGAUGUACAUGAAUCAUUCAAUACCUUGUAUAAAAUUUUACGUAUUAUCUUGCAUUUAUGAAAGUUGGCUGUUCAAUUUAGUCACAAGUGACAUUCCCUAUUAAUUGUAGCAGGAUUCGAAUGCUCUACAGUUGCACCUACAACUACACUGCAGAGAACUUUCAUUUCAAUGACUGGGAUCGAUCGAUUGUAGUAGUCAUUCAUUAUGCUUCUAAGUUCUAACACCAUAGCAGAUUAAAUUAUGAAGAAGAGAAUUGUUGAAUAUAAGUUCUUCAUUAACGGAUUUCUGUCUAGGACUGCUACCUAUAUGACAAACUCUUCCCAGCCCAAGAAUCAUCAAGGUAUCCCUGCAAAUCCUACUACAGUAUUGAGCAUCAAUUCCUGCAUCAUAUAUUUGAUCACCUUGGCAAAUAUCCAGCAACAACCCCGUAGAAUAAAUGCUACCAAGGGAUUCCAAUUGACCAAGCGUUUUGUUCUUCCGAAUAUUGGACAAACUAAAACCUACCCAUAUUGCAAGGUCUACGCAUGCAUAUAGCCGAACGUAUACCUUUCAAAGAAUUCUUGACGGUUGACUGAAUACAUUGGUUAAGCCAUAAAGUUUAAACCUUGACCAACUUAUUACCUAAACUAUUUGCUUUUCUCACUCUCCCCCAAGUUGCUAAUUAGUCAGUCAAUUGUUGCCGAAUCAUGAUCAACUAUAAGUCGAAAAAGAAUUAUUUCUUUUGGGUUCACUUUUUAGCUAAUGAGGUGUGAAGAUUAGAUACCCUUAAAAUCACAAACAAAUAAGAAUCCGACACCAGAAAAGAUGUUCUUCGAAGAAUAGAAUUAAUCCAAUUUAUAAAAGUACUUCUUUUCAAAUUUUUUUUUUUGAGAUUCUCGUCAAAAGUUCUAUUGUCAAAUGCCGCGUGCCAAAUGGAGAACACAACUCCAAACUGCAGCAUCAGGGGAGUUUGUUUUGAGGGUUUGAAAUUCCAUUACUUGUGCAAACUGAUUACAUGGGAGAUCAGAAGUUUUAGGUUGUGUUCUCGAACUUGCUGGUAUGAAUCACCUUAGUCGGAACCUUUCAAAUAAAGACGACGUUAAAAAAUCAACCUUUUCUACGUCAGAAGAUAGUAGCAUGUAAAUUAAUUGAUAGGGGAUUUGGACCAACAUAGAUGGAACUUUAUGUCCUAGUGGAGUCGCGUACCAUUGGAUUUUUUGCUUCAACAAUCAAGGUUUUAAGAAAAUUUUGGGUACUUCUUGGAUAUUUGGUUAUACCCAUUACCAAAUUUCUGCACCUUUGAAGAGAAUUAAGGAUCAAAGACAUUAUAGCUUCCAAAACAAUUUUCUUUUUUUAUUUUAUUGGAUUAUAUUUUUGCCUAAUAGCUUUUUGAUUUUCUACUUUAAUCUGUAUCAUGGGUUGCUUCUUCUUUUUUUUUUUUCCAGCUCUUUCUUCUUCUUAUUACAUACAUGUAAGAGAUUGUUGUACGAAAAAUUAAUUUUUCAUUGAGCUCUCACAUUAGAAAAUAAAUGUUCUGAAGGUAUCGAGGGAUCUUCGAUUUCUUUUCUCAAAGUACAUUUCUCAACAUAUAAAAAACAAAACGUAAGCCUCUAAACCCUACAAAGUUUCUGAUAGGAAAAUAAGCAAAUGUCACAGUCCUGUCCUUAUGGUAUCCAAGCACAAAUUUGACAACUCUUCCUCUUGCUAAACAUUUUUCACGGGCCAGUCGCCAUUCUUGAAAAUUGUGUAGCAAUCUUUGAGGAUCUCCAUGGAACAAAAUCAGAUUAUAUGCUCUUGAGUUUUGACCAUUUUUGUUGAAUCCCUUAGAGGACUUCAUUUUGUCUCGUGUGAUGAUAUGCUGCUGCAUUUUAAGGCCACUUGCAUAGCAUUCCAUUAUUCUUCCAGAACGAAGAUCACCGACCGUACAAAUUAGCAACUUACUUUAGAGGGAGGGAUUCAUAUUCACAUUCAAGAAAAAAAACACCCCAAAUAUUUGGAGCUUUUGAAAUGAUUAAUUAAAAAAAAAAAAACCGACAUUCUUGGAUUAGAUUCUAAUUGUGAUACGGACAUUUGGGCUAUCACAACCUACGAUCUUGACCCCUCCAUGCUUUUGUCUAAAUUGAAUCUUCCUUCGUUAAAUAAAAGUGAAUAGCCCAACAUCAGCCCAUCUCUACUUGGCCUGCACUGAUUUUAGCAUCCAGAGCAUUUGAAGAGUUGCUUGCAUCAAAAUUUUGUAGGGAUGUUUGGUUCUGGGAAUUCACAGAGAGAAAGUCAAUUAGUGUGUUUAGAUAGGAGAUAAUUCGGGUUGAUUUUUUGAAAAAGUGUUGGAUAUGAAAUAAAAAAAGAUUGAAAAAUAUGUUUAUGAUCCAAAGAGACAAGUCUUGUUUCAUCAAAAUAGUUACGUUUGAUUGAUAGACAGAGGAAAUAGAAAGGAGAGGUACACUUGUUGUACAAGACAUACUCCAAAAAGCUGCAAGAACGAGAGAGAAAAAAUAAUUUCUCAUUCAUUUCCUUAACAUGAUAUUCACAAACAUCACCUAUCUCCAAAUGGUGAAACCCAACUUUAAUGGGCAAAUAUUUUCAGUCAUUUGCCAAAGACACAAAUUCCAAAAAAAUGAGCGAAGGAUUGCAGGCUAUUUCGAAAUUUAACCUUUGUGCCUAGGCCCAUUUUAGUGGGCCAUUAUGGAUAUGAAUCUGAAACUCGAGUAUGUUUCUUGGAUCAUAGUUUGAAGUGAACCAGACCAACUCCGGCACCUUCCAUUUUGGGUCAGUAUGAGAUGCAAGGACAGAAACAAUGAAAGAUGACUCCGGUACCUUAAAGUAUCAUUGCAAAGGUACAAUUAAUCAACUCUUUUUCACUGUUUUCUUUUUCUUAAUGAAAAGCAAGACUAGAAUGAUGUAGAGAAAUUUUCCUAAAGAUAUAUAAAUUUUGGUGUUUGUUUAGAAGAUUAUUUGAACAAAGUUUUAAAAUAUUACUGUAACACAUUUUGUGAUCUGAUUUAUGUGACAUUAAAACAAUAUACAGAGAUGAAUUUAUGAUGCAAGACAAAGAUUUCUGGCAAAAAUUAUGCUAUCCAAACAUUCAAUUUUAGCCCUACUUCCCUCGUUCCCAAUGUAUCAACAAAAACUUGAGUAUAACAAUGCAAAGUGAAAUAAAUCAUCACUAACUGGACAUAACUGGUGAGCUUCUAUCCUUCAAGUAUUCAUUAUCCAGACUGUAUUAAAUUUCGGCCAGCCCAGAUGGUCUUUGUGGACUACGGAUAGCUAAAUGAAACAUAUAUGGGCCUACUCUAUCUUUAGCUUGAUUCACCCUGUGGCAUGCAUUCCCAUAGGGCGUUAGCAGGGGCAUUUGAGAUGUUUUCCAACAACAAGCCAUCAUAAACAAACCAAACAACACAAUUCCAUUAAAGUUCUGUUUUGCUCAUUUCCACAGCAAAGAACUGUUGCAACAUUAUUGUCUUUUUUAACCUGAUUUAAAAUGUCAAAGGACCGUUAUUGAUGAAUACUUUUUGCUAUAAAUUUUAGAAAAAUGAUUUAGAAUAUGACUACCACUUUAUGAAUGAAGUAACAAUACUUUCCUGUGCCUGGCAGUUGGGGGUAGGAAGGGUAUGAAAAAGGAUGGGAGCGUAAAACCAAAAAAAAAAAGUAAUAAUAAUUAAAAAGGAAUAUAAUAUCACUCUUUAAAAAAAAUUCUAGCAAGAGAAUUAAGAAACAGGAAGAGAGAAGUAGGAUUUGAAUUCGGAACCACUAACUCCAAGAAUCUCAACCUUUAAUGUCUCACUUCUUAAUUCUUUAUUCUUUCUUCUUCCCUUGAUGGAAUCGAUCGAGCGCCCUUUGCUACUUGCUUAGGAAUCUGGCAUAGCUCUUUCAGGCAGUUUAGCAUUGCUAUGAAGUUUAUUUAUCUCCUCUAAUUUUCAUAAUCACUAGGACUUUUUCAUAUACUCAAUGGUGGAAGUAGGACCUAUGACCAAUGGGAGUAGUAUUAUACAUCAUCAAAAAUUAUGUCAUAAUCAUGGAAAGAGAAAUUUGAUUUGAGAAUAUGUUUGUAUCACGAGUUUUUCUGUGCUGUAAAAGCUUUAACUUUAUUUCUUGUUCAUGUAGUAAUUAAUUUUUAAGGAGAAAAGGGUACUUAGGGGGCAGAACAAUUAGGAAAACAUAAAAGUUCGCAAUAGUUUCAAGGCCAUUCUUUAAAUUUUACAAAAUUAAAGGAGGCAAUUGCCUACCCUCAAUAUAAUCUGGUUCCACCACUGCAAUUGCUGUUUAAGCUUGUACGUUGUGGAUAAUCUCAUCUUUACCACCUUUUGAUGCGAAAUUAUUUGAAGACUGAAUAGCUUCCAUAUAUCAGUCUAUUGCUUGGAUGGGGGCUGGAUUGCUAAUGAUUUUAGUUGGAGUGGUUGUCAAUAUGCUUCACAUUUUCAUUUCACAGCAAUCCCUCCAGUAAUAAUACAUUGUUAAAGAUGGAUAUUAGAGAUUCCAACUGCAGAGAAAAUAGAAGAUAACGUUUUUUGGUAGCAGAACACUAGAACGUGCAUGUUGACAUAGCCCUUCACAUGCGACGCAUAACAACUUGCUUGUAUUUGCAGGGAGAUCCACUGACCAUUAUCUUAUUUUUGGGUUUGGAACAAUUCCUUUUUCCUCUAUUCUGCAGAAAUGGCGGACUUCCUCCAACCUUUUAUCAAUUGUGUUGCUUGCUUGCAAUUUGGAAUUAGGAAGAAAAAGAAUUGAAAUGUUAAGGGGCAAAAAAUAAUGGCUUUGGUUGCCCAGAAAAUGGAAAGAACAAUUCCUCUUUUUUUUUUCUUUUCUUUUCUUAACUGAUUACAUAAUUCAGGUUUCAAAAGGCGCCUAACUCCCAAAAACUUUUCUCUCCACCUUACUCUAACUGGAAGGGUACCAAGUAAGCAAGACAAAAAAACCAUCGAUCCGCACUAAAGAUGACUGCUCAAAAAUAGAAAAAAUAAAUUACGUUAAAGAAGGUAUAAUUAAGAUUCUUUGCUGAUGAACAAUCCUAGUUGAGGUGCGUAGAGCCACCUCAUGACCACCUCAUCAAUGCCUGUAAAGUGAAAUGAUCAAGUAGGGUCUUUAAUUCUUGGCCUUUUCUUUUGGUAAAUGAUCAAGUAGGGACUUGAUGAUCUUUUCUUAAACCCUACAAAAGAAUGACUUUGUGAUGCAAUUUUUACACACUUUCACACUCCUUUUUUGGCCUCUUGCGUCAUACUUCUCCUCGGACAAAGAUAACUGUCAAGUAUAGUAUACAUUCUCACAAAAAGAAGCUCUAAAAAAUUACACAGAAUGGGAAUCCUCAAGGAGUAAAAAGGAAGCAAGAGAAAUUCUGAGGCUUGGCUUUGAAGGAUUCUUGAUGAUGGCCCGAGAAAGGCUUUUCAGAGUCACUUUCUUCUCUUAAGAUUUUUGGCAGCAUGGACUUGUCCUUGCAUGCAACUGCUGUGAAGAAAGAAUAAGAAUAUGGAAUUGAAGAUCUUUUUGAGGUGGGGUGGUACCCUCCAUCCUUGAUCUUUUCGGAGGAUAAGAUAACGCAAUUGUAUUUUUCUAUGACUGUAAAUGUUGGCUCAAAAAUAACCAGUCCUUUCGUUGUUCCCACCUGUCAGUGAAGGCUGUAGAGAUAAGAAAAUUGUUGUAGAAGAACCUCAUCAGUUUGGCAUUCCUCGAUGCUUCCUCUUUUCUAUCCUCUUAUCUAAUGCACAAUUUGUCAUGGUCCCUUCCAAAAUGUAGUAAUCGUUUUAGGUCGCGGGAUUAUCAUUUGCGCCUAGGGUUAAUUUUGACAAUAGUCUCCAAAAACAUAAAAUUUUGUAUGUCAGCAUUAAAGAGAUGGUUGAAAAAUAAAUACAGUUGGAUGAUGUAUUUAAAGAAUUCAAAAACAAAUUGAAAAGAAAGUGGCUGUAAUUUGCAAAGAGGGCGUCCACAAAUAAAAAAGAGAACUAAAUUUUUUUUAAAAAAAAAGAACUUUUUUUAUUCAGCAAAAAAGAAGUGGGACUAAAAAGGCGGGAGUAAGGAUGGCAACUCACAGGCACUUGCCGUGCAAGGGGAGUCAUGGGGUAGGGGGUGAGGCGGGACGAGUGCGAUGGCGGGGGGAAUUUUUCUCCCCCAGUUAUAGACGGAGGGGGACGGGGGAGGAUAUCCCCUCCCUGUCCCUUGUUACUAAUAUAAAGUUUUAAAAAAAUCAAUAUUUUUAUAUAGCUUUAUAUAUAUAUGCAUUGUAACUAUAUAUCAAUAAUGUUUGUGUGUGUAUGUGUAAUUUGUAUGAUAAAAAUGAUUAUUUGGUUAUUUUUAGUUUACUUCAAUUGUUUUCACAUAUUGUAAGUUGUUUAAACGAAUUUGAUGAUCAUAAGUUUGGGUUUGCUAUUAAAAAUAGAGAAAUGAAUUAAAAAAUAUCAAAGUUAUUUUUAAUCUUGAUUUCACAUUGAAUAUUUAGCUAAAAAUCUAAAAAGUGACUUAAAAUGUUGUUAUUGAUAUUGUAUAGAUAUAUAUAAAAUAAUGUCAAAGGAAAAAUAAAAAAUAUAAUUACACAACUGCAAGGUCACCUAUUAGGGUAUGGGUUAGGGUGAAGUAGGGGGCGAAGUAGUAAAAACUAGGGACAAGGAUGAGACAGGGAGGAAGGGAGGGAAAAUUUUAGGGUACUAGGCGGGGAGGGGAGGGAUCCCUCGCCCCAUCCUUACCCUAUUGCCAUCCCUAGUGAGGAGCAGGCCGGGAGACUUAACAAGCGGGGAAGCGUAAGCCUUUUUUAAAAUAAGAAAGUUAUUUUUUAUAUCCUCUAUAUAUAUUACAAAAGUUAUUCCAAUCUUAUUAAAGUUAGUUACACUCACCGCAAACAUGUUUCUAUUCACCCUUACAAGAAAUUAAGCAUAUGUUUUGCCUCUUUGUGAAUUUUUUAAGUCUCAACCGCACCCUUACAUAAGUUCUUUCAAGGACUUUUGGGUAUAUUCUUGAAAGCAAAUGAUAAAUGCACAACAAUCCCUAACGUGUUAAUGCAGCUUAAACAUUCUCCAAAAAGAUGAAUAAUUUCAUAAAUUAAAAUAAAGAUUCCAUGUUAUGACUAAUCACAAAGAUGCUUCACUUGAUUAAUCACACUUUUCUCUACCGUGAGUGGGUAAUCACCCCAAAAAUUAAAAGCAUCGGAUACUUUCCAACACGAGGAAGAAAGUGCAGUUCUGUCAAUCAGACCACUCCACAAUUGGUAAAGCUUGUUGAAUAUGAUUGAAAGUGCAGUUCUUGAAGAAAGAUUUAUUGUCCAAGUAGAACUUUUCAAAGCAUCAUAUAUUUACUCAGAUGGUGGCAAAUUUAGGAGCUAAAAGUAAAUUAUAAUGCAAAGCUCGCCGGAUAAUUAAAUUUGAAGUUUAUAUUCUUCGAGGAAAAUAGAUUAAUGAUGCAAAGACACUUCAUUGUCUAGUCCUUUCGGUAUUAACAAAGAAAUUAUAAUCCCAAAUACUUGAAAAAAGCCAUUGAAGACUAAAAUCAGCUCCCCCAUGAAGGCUAUCGAAUACUAGAAAUCUCAAGUGCAAAAUUAAACAAAAGGAUCCGAAUAUUGAAAAUUUCAUUAGGGCCCUUUAGUUACCUCCUUUUUUUAAAAAAAAAAUCUUUAACUAAGUUUUGGCUCAAUUUUCACCUUCAAAGUUUAAAAGUAUAUUUUGCGAGAAACUAUUCACCUAUUCUGCUAAUUGAAUCUAACAAAAGGGUAUUUUUAUCUUUUCCUCCUCCUAUUAAAAAGAAAGAAAUUAAGAAAAGGGCAGAUGAAAACCGAAUUAUAGAUGGGAAGUACAUAGAUUAAAUAAUAGUAGUGAAAAUUUUAAGGCACAAAAUGAAUAAAAGGUAGUAAUGAAUAUGUCGCACUCUUCAAUUUUACAGAAAAAGAUGGUUGCUUAUUUUUGUUGAUUAUCUUUCUGCACUAGACAAAUUAACCCUUAUAUAGUUUUGCUUCUCCAGUUAAGAGGACCACCUGAAAUGUAAGCAAUCCGCACAUUUAUGGUGACCUAGCACAAACUUUCUAGUCGUGUAAAAACAGGUGGAAGAAAAGUGGCUAUCACCAAUUUUAAGCUUAAUAAAAUCCCACCAAGUUCUUGAUAAAUCUUCACCAAAUUAUGCUUCUCCUCCUUCAAAAGAAAAAAAUUAUGCUUCUCCAAAGUAUAAAAUUGUAGGUGUUACUUGCCAUUUUUGAGAUGUACAAGCUACUUAAAAAGAUGUAAUCAAAAGAAAUAUAGCACACACCAUAAUUUACAUUAAACAAGGCUGAUAGUACAUUAUACAUGCAUGGAUAUGCUUGGUUACAUUAACUACAAAACCAAACACAUGCAGAUAGAAAUAUCUCCACUUGGUCAUGCACAGAUAAAAAUGCCAGCAGACCACAUAUGGACAGACUAGACACUUCAGCACCACCACUAAUCACUGGCUUCUGCAGAUGUCAAAAAAACCAUUGCGGAAAGCCAUAGUUCAGACUCUACGAUACUCUAGAUUAUUACAAUAUUAAAAUCUUGACUAGAAAAAGGAAAGGAAACAAAAAAACUAAUACAUGUAGUAGAUAUAGUAAAUUAUAAAGCUGCCCAAUCAAUCUCCACUGAGGGGUACUUCUGCAACAAGAAAUUCUCUGACUGGUCAAAAGUGGGCUCAGCAAAAUCCAAGAAAGUUAUAUCAGAUUCAGGUGAAGACAUUUCCAGUGAUGAUGUUUCAUCAGAUCUUGAAGGUGAUAAUGAUGAUGAGGUCUCCUCCACCUUAACACCCUCAUUUCCUGGAUAGAAAUAUUCACUGUUCAAUGAAUCAUCAAAGGUGUUUUCCACUUUUGGAAUUGUCUGUACCCCGACCUUCUUCUGCUGCUGCUCCCCUGUAUUCCCCUGUUUCUGAGAAUCGGCCAAGCUUUGACAAAUGGCUUCAAGUUUAGCAUCAACAGAGGAAUGCAAAGGUUUGAAGUCACCAAAAUCUUGGCUUAAUUGAUGCCGAAGGUUUGGAAAAUUAAGCCUAGCAAACUCUCCUCUCAGCUUAUAAGCAGCCUUAUCAUAGGCCAAGGCGGCUUCUUCAGCUGUGUCAAAGGUUCCAAGCCAAAGCCUAGUUCUGUUCUUGGGGAGUCUGAUUUCAGCUACCCAUUUGCCCCAAUGUCGCUGUCUAACUCCCCUGUAAAGCUUGGCGGGUUUUGGAGGAGUUCCAACUUGCUUCAUGUGGACAGGUUUUGGGCCAAGAAAGCUCAAGUGGGAAUGAUUCUGGUGCUGCAAUUGCCUGGUUGAGCUAUAGUUUUGGAGGGACUGAGCAGCUAAGUAUUGCUGUUGUUGAUUUUGAAGUUUGAUUUGAGCCUCGACUUCAAGGAUCUGAUAUGGGGUCAGAUGGUUUAACCCAAUUGAACCACCACCUGAUUGCUCAUCAAAUCCCAUCUCAUCAAAGCUAGACAACCCUUGAGAAAACAUGUGGGCUGUGGAUGGAACAUAUGAGGUAAAAGAAGAGUACAUGUUGGGCUCAGAAGAGAAAGAAGAAGAGUCAAAAGGGUAGUAAGAAGAGCAAGAAGAAGAAGAAGAAGUAGAAGGAGGAGAAAGAGAAGACGAAGAGGAGGAAAAGGGAGAAGAUGUAGUAGUAGGAGAGGAGGGCAAAGAAGAAGCACCUUUCAUAAAAGGUUCAAGUGCUUUCAUCAGCUCUUCCCUCAAGGGAUCUGAUGAUAAUGAGAAAACAGGAUUACUAUAACUGUAGAUAUCUAUAGCUGUUGCCAUAACUUAGAUCAAUAAUUCAGACUUAAAAAAAAAAAGAGAUCUGAGCGAAAAAAAAGUCGUGAAAAAACUAACAACCAAGUUCUUGUGAACCAAGAAACUAAAGAAACAGAUGGUAGGAGAGGAAGAAAGAAAAGAAAAGGAUCAAACAGGUUUCGAAAUAAAGAACCUUUUGGUAUCCUUGAUAGUACUAGUAAUUUAUGUACCUUCAAGAAAAUGAAAGAUCAAGAAACCAAAACUCACCUGAGGGAUAGCAAAAAAAAAAAAAAGACCCUCUUAGUUGUUUUAAUCAAACUAGAAGCAAAAGAAGAGCUACAAGAAACUAUACCAAAGUUACAAGAGAAAACUGGAUCUCUAUUCUGAAUCACCUGGCUUUCAAAAACACCCUUGUAGGGGGUUUGCUUUGAGAUUUUCUGCAGCUGAAGUUUGAGUUCAAAAUCAAGAAAAAAACAAACCAACCCUUAAAAUUUUGCAGUACAACAAAUUUCUUGAAAGACAGACGAUGACAGAAAGGGAUCUCAGAAGCGGGAUGUUAUAGAGAAGGGGGAAAGGAAAAAGAAAGAAAUUUAGCAAAUGCACAAAAAAAACUCACAAAUUUUUCUGUGGCCUCACUUAAGAUAUCCACUCUUGCAUAUGGUUGUGACUCCCAUGCUUCUAUAUAAAGGCCAAGACUGCGGCUGGUACACACAAGAUUAAUUAUUUUAAUCUUGAAUUGUUCAUUUCUUUAGUAUUAAGUCCACUUUGGGAGCUGCUUUUUUUGCUCAAUUAUUCUACAUUCUUGUCAAACUUCUAGAGAUACCUUCUAUGAAAGAGAAAGAUCCAAUGGGUUAGUGACACGUGAGGAGAUCACUGAAAUGUAGACUGGCAGGUGCCAGUAAAGAUCCACUUGGAGAUUUUUUAUUAGAUGGUGAAUGUAGUUGACUGCUAGUAGGCAGUCACCUUCAACUUUGGGAACCAAAAUGGUAGUAUGGUAUAUAAGGACCAUUUUUUUUUUGGCCUUUUGAGGAUGUAUACAAGUUUUCGUCCUUGCUAUUUUUUUUUGACACGCCUAGAUUAUGACACCUAAACUCUCAUAAAAAAAAGGAAAAAAAGAUUAUAACACGUAAAUGUGAUGAAAAAUGUUGAGGAAUUUUGACCUCGUAAUUUAGCAGCAUGAUGAUCAGGUGGUCAGUGGCUAAGGGAGGACUCUCUCCACUGUCAGAUUCAAGGUUUAAAACCAAGUUUAAUAUUUGAAUUUUGAACUUGACAGUUGAAAGCGAGAUAGAGGCGUGAGAAGAUUUAAAAAAAGAUCGGCUGAUCACCAACCUCAAGCAAACUUGGCCAUUGGAUUACAUGAAAGGAGAUUUUCAAUAUGAACCACAGCUUUAGCUAUCAUCGUAUGGACCAGAUUUUGAUAGUAUAAGUCUAACUUGGCCCUAGCUAUGAAGAAGAAUAGGAAAAAAAAAAAACAUGGAGUCAUGGACCAGUUUCAAUUUCAUUAGUUCUUUUUAGAUGGGAAAUGGAUUUUGGCAUAAUCGCAAUGCACCAACUUUUGUAGAGGCCACAGACAAGUCCAAGAUUCGCAUUCCACUAUUACCAAAUUCUGUUUACACGAGGUAAAAUGAUACUCCUACAACUUUAGAAUCUUUUUUUAACAAAACAAAGUUCUCAAGGGCAAAGCUAAAUUUGAGUUGGUGAACCUCAUUUGUAACAUCCAUUUGUUCAUAUGUAGCAAAUGAAGUUCCUCCAAAGUUUAUUUAAUCAUGAAUAAUUAGUUAUCAUCAAAUUCAAAUUUGGGUUUUGACAAUCCUUUAGGGGGUACCUUUCAAGAAAUAAUUCAUUUUGGAUUCUCAAUUUUGUUUUGAUUUUGAAUACAGCACCAUACAUGAAUGAUGACAUGACAUGAAUGUCCAUGGAUAUUCUUCUUUUUUUUUCCUGCAACGAUAGACCCUAUAUUUAUUCUAUUAUAUUCUAUACUAUGGGAUAGGAGGGACCUGAAGAGGUCCAGAGAAAAAUCGAAGAGGAUUAAAUCACCUAACGACCCAAAAGAAUGCACUACGCAUCCGUCCAAUAAUCACUUAAAGUGGCCUGCUACAUUUAGUGCCAAAUGGGGAGAGGCAAGGUGGUGACCACCGAGCUCGGUGGUUCCAUGGAUAUUCAUUACUGCAUGAAUAACUCAUCCCCCCAACAAUCAACUGAAUUUAAGAAAAGUAGUUAAGAAGAAGAAGAAGAAGAAGAAGUAUGAUUAGACUUGAAAUUUGGCGCCUUUCAAUAAUUGAGUAAGAAAUAUGACAUUCACCAAUCAAGCAGCCUGGUUAGAAAACAGAAAUAGCCCACAUCAUCAGAAGUCUUCAUGGUCAUGAUAGUGCUACAUAUUGCCCCAAGGUAAAGUGAGAUAUAGGAUAUGAUUUCCCAAAUUGCAUUAAUCAUUUCUUAUCCAUUACCAAACCCCAUCUAAUUUUGUCAUUAGCAAAAAGCAAAACCACCAUUUUCUUGAAAGGAUGAAGAUGGAUGGACAUGUGCCAAAGAGACAAAAUACUUGUGGGAUCCAUGUCUACGCAACGCAGGAUUAUAUAUAAUUGUUGUCUAUGUAAAGAGAAAAACCAUGGAUUAGGAGGGGAAGCGGUAGUGGUAGAAACUGCUGGCAAAUAAGUCAAAGUUCAUGCGGUGAAGGGAAGUUAACAGUGAAGAGUCAGAAUUGCAAAAAAGAGAAAAGGAGAAAGAGAAGAAUAAAUCAUAAUCAUCAUUUUCCCAUACGAAACUAGGGAAGGCAAAGAAGUUAAUUUGAGUGCGACAAUCCAUCGUCAAUUGCGGCGCCAGCGAGCCAACCAGAAAGCGGACGGAGAAAAGGACCCUCAAAAUCAAAUGCCAUUGCAAGCUAGUAGUUUGAUCCAGUUUUUACAUUUACGGUAUCCCUUGUAAAAUUUUGCAUUCUUUAGAUUUUUAUGGAUUUAUUUAGCGAGUGCCUGUUCAGUUUCGUCCGUUAACUUUUCAGUGAAAUAAAAUUAAACUGAAAAGAUAUCUGACCGUACGCUCGUUAGAAAAAUUUUCUUUUAUAGUUAUUUAGAGUAUUGAUUAGUAUGUGUGUGUCUAUAUAUAUAUAUAUGGAUAUAGUCAUAUUUGCUAUCCACUUUUAGAAUAAAUUUUUUAUUAUUUUUUGUUUACAAAUAAUACUUGAAAAUUCUUUAAUGAGUACUUUAAUGGGCACUUGUUACACCAAAAAAAAAAAAGAAAAGAAAAAAGUCGUAGACACGUAAAAUUUUGGAUGGAUAAAUAAACUUUAGUACAAUUCUUUUGAAAAUUUAGCGACAACAUAUAUGUUUUCAUUCAAAAGUACUUAUGAUAAUUUUAAAUUUGUAGGAGUGACUAUCCCAUCCCAUGCUAAGUCUGAACAUAUACAAGUUUCAGUCUAGAUGCACUUGCAUAAGAAAUCUUGUCAUAUAUAAGGCGAUUUCUUGAAGUGAGUAAUCUGUGUUAGUGUUAGAGAUGAUAGUAACAGAAACUAUUAAGAUUUUGUGAGUUGAACAUCAAUUAAUUCUAGUUUAACUUGGAUCAAAUUGACCUAUUCUUCAAAACAUACUACUAUUUCAGUAUUUUUUUUUUUUUUUUUUGUGCUGCGUGACUCACUAGCACACACUUGCAAGGUUGGACCUAGUGAAAUAAAUUCCAAGACAACCUCAUCAACAAGUUGAAUUGAAUAUGAUAUAGUAAAAGUUAUAUUUGAAAGUGAUUUCUUAUAAUAGUAAAUGUUCCUCUUGUCGUGUCAUUUUCAUCUGACAGCUAACCAAUUUACUGACCUAAAAUAAAGUAAAUAUUUCAAAAUUAUUUAAAAUAAUAUCUAUACUAUAUAUAAAGGAUGAGGAAGGGGUUUGGGGUUAACAUUUAUCGUCUUUCUUUUUUAUCCCCAUAAAAACUACUUUUACUUUAACUACCUAUACGUACUUAUGACUAUUUUUACUUUUAACUAUUUAAGUAUAUGUUUUCAACAUAACUAUCCCUAAACACUACAACUACCAAUAUAAAAUUAUUUUAUGAGAACUAUUUCAAAGAUUAAAGUUUGCUUUAGUAAUAAAAGUUUUAUUUAAAAUAUACGACCAUCAAUAUUAUAUAUAUAUUUUUUGAUUGCACACACAUUGGAUAUGCGAUGAGCACUAGUUGAGAUAAUUUUUGUGAUGUGAUGUCUGUAAGAUAAAAAUGUUACUAGAAAAAUAUAAUUAAAAUUUAUAUUUAUAAUGCAAACGAAAUAAUAUUCAAAAGUGUUUUUAUUUUUUUUCUUCCUUGUUUAAACCUUUUCCAGGCUAGAUAAAUAGUAAAUGGACCGUGGUUACAAAGCAACCUUUUUGUCCUUUUCUUAUUAUUAUUUAAUUUCCUCGUUUGGGUGCAAAGGGAAGCUUUUACUUUCAGGGACGGACGGUGAGCAAGUUGCGGAGUUAGCGUGAGAAUGAAGCGAAGCCAUCGGAUUUGUUGCGGGCCCCGCUGGGAUCGAGAGAUAUUAGUGGAGCCUGUUAUUUACGUCUGACACGUCAUUUCCUACGUGGCCGUCACUUAUAUGCCACGCAAAGUAUAAUAUCCACCGCCGUUAUCCUAUCCAAACAUUUCCAAGGUUUAAUGAUGUUCUAAAGCUAAUCUAAGGAUUUUUUUUUUUUUUGAAGGAACUAAUCCUAAGUUCACAGGGCACAAACUAUUGCUACAACGUUAAAGGCCUUUCGUAUAGUGGUUAAAGUUAAAAUCCUUUUUACGUUUUUUAAAUUUCACGCUUCUCCUAUUAGGGAAAAAAAAUAUUAUCACAAUAUAAAUUUUAGUUCAUUGGAGUGGAGUAAAUUAUUGACGUCAAGGAAAAAAAAAGAUAAAUUUUAACUCAUCAUAGAAUUUUUUUUUUUUUAAACGACAACUAGGGCAUCACUUGUGGAAGAUUAGGUUCGUAUUGAAAUAGAUUAAUUUGUCAUUUUACAUAUAAUUAAUUGUAGAACUAAAAUAGAUGCUGUGGCGUUAUUACUAGCCUUUCUAGAAAAGUAAAGAGACUUCUUCAUUUGUUUUCAUACUUGGUUUAUGUUUCUUAAUAAUGUUCCCAUUUUUCUUCAAAAAUGAUCCAAAGUUCAAUGGCCUUGAUUGAUUAAAAAAUUGUAUGCAUUUCUUAGUUCCUUGGUUUUUUUUCCCUCCCUUUUUCAGCAGCAUUUGUUUGUUUGAUACCAAAAUUGUAAUAGAUUGAUAUAGCAUAAAAUUUUUAAGUAAAAUACUUAAAAGGAAAAAAAUUUGUUGUGCCUUUUCUUCAGUUUAAGGUCUGCCAAAUUGCCAUAGUCCGAAUAUAAGUAGCUAUUAAGCCAAUAUUUUUUUAACUUCUAACUGUAAAAUUCAAGAUUAAAAUGUACUUUUACAUUGAAGAAGCUUAUACGCAAUAAUAAAUGUGUACUUUGCAGUGAGAUAUCUCUUUGAAGGACCCUUUGUUUGCCACGUUCAAAUGAACACAUCUCGCUUUCUGAAUCUGAUGGUCAUUGACAAUGAAACCAGAUUUCUUUGUCGACUAAGCCACUAUUUCUGAAAUUGAAGGAUGACUAGAAACAAUUGAAGACCACUAAGGUGUGACUUGAUGCACAUUGAGUCUUAAAUUCUCUCGUCAUGCUGACACAUUUUUAUCGUUUGAGGGGAUCCUAUGAUCACAGUUUGGAUUCUAGGGUGCAAUUGAUGAUGGGGAUGGGUUUGAUUUGAAUUUAGUCGGAUGAGAUUGAUUCUGAAACGUAACUUUUUAGAGUACAGAAAUUUGUUAUAUUUCUGUUUAUUGAUGUGUUAAUAUCUACAUCUGUUAUAUUAUUGAUCAUACAGUCAGUGAUUGUAGAAAUCUCGAAUCCCAUUUUAUCCUUGUACAGGAUCAAUCAACAAAACUCAUCUAAGAUCUAUUUUGUUAUUGUCAUCGUUUGUAGCAGAUGAACAUAAAGAAGCUAAUCUAGGGUAGAAAAAUGGGAACUCAUGGCCCUCCUAACCUACACAAAUUAAUGAUUCCAUGUUUGUCAUAUGUGCAAGAAUUUUUUUUGGGUGCCAUGAAGGCCGGAUGGACUUAGAGAUUUGAGAGUGGCUACAGACAGUUCAUGUGGCUUUGAGAGACGUGAAAACUUCAGGCAAUUUUUAAUCAAGAAUAAGGACAAUUUCAUCAAUCUGGAUUGAUUGAUAAGGUAGUAUCUGGUAGAGGUUCAAUCUCCUUUCUAAAUUACAAACUGCAGCCAGUGCAUGUGCUGCAACUAGAAGGUGGCUGGGAAUCUUGCCCUUUGGGGACUGCUUUUGGACUUUCAACUUUAGGGUUUGGAACACAAUUAUCUAUGGUUGUCUGGCAGGGAUGACAAUGAAGUACGAGGUAAAAUAGACAUGGAAUGCCAAAGUCUCCUUGUCAAUGAUGAACUAGUUUGGUAGUAUAUAAUAAUUGGUACAUAAUUCAGAGCCCUUCUCUUGAGGUUGAGAUUUCCAAACCUCUUUUUUGUACCCGCUCUACUACAUUGGCAGCUGGUGUCUGGCAAGCUGUUUAGCAUUUACAUGCAUCCUUAAGAACUAAACUAAUCUCCCCUGCAAAUGUCAUCCUUAUGUAGUUUUUGCCCUUGAGAGAACUUUUGCUGCUGGUGCUAAUCAAUUCAUUUGUACUAUAAGGGACUAAAAAUUGCAUAAAAGAGGGCCUGAAAUUUAGAAUUUGAGUCACUUGAAGUUUUCUUGAACUUCUUAUAUUAGUAAAACGGGAAGACUUAAUAACAAUAGUAGUUGCAUGAUGCUGACACCAUUCCCAUAAUAAGAUCAAGGGUUUUAUUCUCGAGAGGAGUUCCAAGAGAAACAAUACCUAGAUCGAGAUAUAUAUAAUUCAUUAGAAUUUGGUUUCAAGAUCUAAAUAUAUAGAAAAGUAUUUACAUUUCAAACAUGGUUGGCUCACUUCUUUGAUGAAAGAAUUCAAUCUAGAUUGCAUCUACUUACAAAGCUUAAUUAGAUAACUCUUUUCUAUUUCUUUUUUCACUUGUGAAAGAAAUUUUUUUUUUUUUUUUUUAAAAAAAAGGUCCCAUGAGGAAAGAAACCUCUAUAAAAAGGCAAAACCAUGUUUUAGUCAAGUCCCCUUUCUUACCAUCCAUAAGACUUAGCUCGCAUAUGACCUAGAAGGACAUAUUAUUGAGGAUCCAUAUGACACCUAAUCUGCCCCAUUUCUGUCGGAUAAAACAAAUUCCACAAAGCAGUUUAUUAGCCCAGCUGGAUUCAAAUUAUUAUUAAUAAAUUGAAGCAUGCAUUUGACCAUGAAAUUAAAGCAUGGGCAUAAGUAAGUCUUGGAAAAUACAAAAAUGAAAAGCUAUCUAUACACUCAUUCUUCCCUCCUUGAAGUCAACCAACACGUAUUACAACACACUUAACUAAAGCAAUAAGUGGGCCGAAAGUACUUCGUUGCUAAUUAAAAAAGAGAAAGUGUAAAAAAAAUUUUACGUUAGUAUGUUUAGAUGACUACACUGUUAAUGUAUAAAAUGUUAAUCCAUUAAAAUUUGUGUUCCAUGUUCAAUCCCAUUUAUCGAAUGUCAAGUUGAUCCAUUUUCCACCAUUAAAUGUUGUCUAUUAUAUUGUGAAUGCAGAGUGCCUGUGUAUCCAUCCAUCAUGUACACAGAGAGAUGAGAUGCAAACAGCCCAUAUCAUCAGCACUUCCGUAUGGGGAUAUAAAAUUGGAUAGCCCAUAAUGCAAUUGAAAAACAUGAUUGAUUUCUUAAAGUCUUCAUCUCACCUCCACAAGAAGUGGAGUAAGGAGGUCCACAAACCACACAGACAUGAAGCCCUUUGACUUUUUCCACCAACAAUUCCUCAACUUCAAUAUACUUAGUGGCAAUAUGAUUGGGUGCCUCAACACCAAUGUAUACAGACUAAACUGGCCCGGGUUUGAUGGUCAAAACUUGGCCUUUUAGUGGUGUUGUGGCAAUGCACCUAACUUGGUGGAAGUCUGAUUCACUCGGAUGAACAAACUACUUGACUUUCUAGUUUUUCUAGUAAGUUCAGUGGCCUAUAAAGUCUUGAUUAUUUAUUCGAUUGACCUUGUGGAGUUGACUUUCACAAUUGUCAAUGCCAUCACAUGACACUAUCUUGAUAAAACCUCCACAUCCAGCAAUGCUCAGCAUAUUAGGUGCUAAAUUUUUUAAGCAGCCAUUAGCCAGUCAUCACAAGCUACGUCACACAUAUGAUAAGAGAAAUAACAUAAAAUACUUAGUAGCAGUUAAAAGCUAAGAUGUCGUGCGUGAUAAUGAAAUACUCGUAAUGACCAUUUUCAGGGUAAUCAGGUUCUUGCAGGUUUGAACAAUCACUUUGACAUUUUAGAGGUUUAUCUUCUUGUACUAAAGUCAACCCAAGAAAACUUUUGGUUUCUUGCCAAUCCAUCGAUUAGGACUUCCUCUUCAGAGAUGUAAAGCAGUUUAUCAUUUUCUUUCGAUUGUUUUCUUGUUUCUGUUUCAGUUUUGGGACCAGGGGAGGGGAGAAGGGGUGAGGGUGGCCAGGGGGAGAGUGAAUUGCUUCCCCAUGCAGCAUUUUUAUCUUUCUUGGCAGAAUGCCCCAUUGGCUAACAAUGGCAUCAGAGUGUAAUACAGGGAAAAAUUUUGAAAGCAAAAACUUCCAUGUUCUUGGCUAUGAUGCUAAGAGAAACUUACAGAUGACCAGGGAUUUGGCGUCACAAAUCAACACAAGUUUCCUCCAACAUCUGCCUUACAAUGGCAUAGCAUACUCUUCUUUAAGUAGCAAGCUAUGUUGAUUCUGCUAGGAAUCAAAAUUAACAGGGAAAUAUAAUUGAAAUAUCUCCUUUUAAUAUAGUGAGAAAUACCACAUCUGCAUAUAACUUCCUGAGAGCCUCAUGCUGAGGAAAAUUGUACUGGACACUACGCUGGUUUCACCUAUAUUUCUUCUGAAAGCCUCUAUUGUCUAACCAACAAAACAGCAGAUGUAAAGCGAUCUCAUUUGCACUUACCAAAGACCUUUCCAAUUCUUUCUACAAAAUCCUUUUCUGGGUAUUGUUUUUCUUUUUGUCAUUUUUGUUUAAACUCAUUUCUUAAGAAAAAAUGAAUUAGAACAACAAUUGGAGAUUCAUUUGCAUAUCUUCUGCUGUUCAAAAUUAUGAAUGUAAAAUAUCAUUAUGAGUUUUUAACUUACUUGUCCGGUGAUAACUUCUUUCUUCUUUUCUCCCCGCAACUGUGUAUCCACAGCAAAUAUGAACACAGAUUAUAUUCGCUUCAAAGUAUAUAUAUACACCAUGUAUCUUAAAUCUUAAAUGCCUAUAAGGUGUUGGUUAUAUAGUCACAUCUUGUUUUUAGCAACAAUUGGCUGCUAAAUAUCAAAUUCUCAACUCAUUCUUUCAACAAUUUUUCUAAUAAUACAAUCAUGUAAUCUUAAUAUGACAGGAAUUUGAAGGUAAAACAGAGCUAUCAUGGGUAAAACAAGUGAAAUACUCUAUUCGUGAGUGAACAGAGCUAUCGUGGGUAUUUUCAAGAAACCACGGGGCAUAGCCUAUUCUUGGAAUAGCAAAUGUUACAUACAAUAGAAAUCCUUGAGAUGCAAAAGGGCUAUAGAAAUACAAAGAUGUUGAAGACCAUGAAAAAAAAAAAAAAAGGUUGCAGGCAAGCUACAAAAAACUUAAAGGAGAUAACAGCAUUACAAACAUGACAAGCAUGAUGAUCAUACUACUGGCUAUCUGGAGCUUUGCCAUUUAUAACUUCGAGUUCUGUCUUGCAUUUGUCUCUUAAAUCUUUUAUUGAAGCUAAACUGAUUUCCUGCAAUAAAAGAAAAUCAGCUAGUUACUUCUAAGAAGCCUACGGGCAGUAAAACUAAAUGAGAAAAUCAUUAUCGUUUGCACAAUAAAUGCAUGAAAAUCUCAAUGAAAAGGUAUAACUGGGAGUUGCAAACAAUACUACAGAUCUUGGAUAAAAAGCCAACUUUCUUUUAGGUAAACUGCCGAAACAUAGGCUACAAAAUUUCCACGAUUCUUCGACCAUAUAUGAAUUGACCACCACUUUCAGAUUGGCAAAGGAAGCAGUUUACUCCAGUUGAUGUAAAAUUAUGUAGAACAGAUCAUGAAUUAACAGGAAUCCAUCCCACUAAUAUAACUUUUCUAUUCUUUAUAAUAAUAAUAAUAAUAAAAAGAAAAGAUGAUAAGUUGCAGGCAAAAUUCCAGCAACAAACCACUGAGUCUGCAACUAAUGAAAGACGAUCAAAGACUGCAUAAUUCAGAACUAAAAUAGGUAUCGCUUAGAGAAAACAAUUUUAUACAACAAAAGAAAAAAAUUUUCAUUCAAAUCGACGUUAGAUUCAUUAUGACUUUUUAGUUGCACAUUUACCAGAAACUAGACCCUAACACAAAUCUUCAAACCUUUGACAGGGUUAUUCUAAGUCUUUGGUUGUGGAUUCCCUCUCUCUCUCUCAUACACACACACACACACACACAAUUGCCCAAGCAGAAAAUUCCUACCCAAAUGGAACCUGGUAAUCAUAACCUACAGUUGUUCUAUCCUCAGAACAUGUAAUGAUCGAGCAUGUAGAAUGGUAUAUGACAUUCAUGUGCUAUUCACAUCAGUAUGCUCAAGUUACAAAAGAGCCUCUUAGUUGAGUUCAGUUUACUUGAUUUCUGCUGCACUAUUUAACAUAACCUGAUGGUGGUAGUAAAUUGUCUCUAACAAACUUAGAUUAAAAAUAAAAUUUAAAGCUAGUAAUUCUAACAUUAACUCUCCGGCACUGCUUACAUUAAUUUCUCAUCAAUCGCCAUUAAACUACUUGUACCUUGAGAUUCUUUGAUUUUUUUUUAUUGCUAAUUAUCCUCAUGUCUUCAGUUCUUCAUUAUUCACCCAUACAUUUGAGCCCCUUUUCAUCUCUCCUUUACUUCUGUAAAAGGAUUCCAUGUUAUUUAAAGUAAUGAUUGUAACAGCCUCAUUCUCCAGCCAGUUGAUUCAUAAUAUAGUGAAAUUCAUAAUCUCAACGAGCAAAAAUAAAGAUCACCUAUCUACCACUUAUAGGAGACAAACUGGAUUGCUAUUUAGAUUCCGAGGACACAUUACACUAACAUGUCCAAUCCUCAACUUCUCAUGAUGACUAAAUUCACUACUUGAAUGUUUCCACCAGCCAAUUUACAAAGUAAAUUCAGUUUCCACGUUUAAUAAUAUCAAAUAAUCAGCUAUAUCAGACAAUAUUUACUGGGCGCAAAUGCAAUCUUGGAAGAAGAAAGUAUCAAAGUAAAACAUAAUAGGAUUGCCUUGUACAGAAUAAGUGUUGGAUGGUAAUAUCCAAUAUCACACUUCACAUAUUCAGGCAAAAUGUUGAACUUAGAAAAUGUUCUAGACAUAUACUUACUUGUUCCUUGGCCUCACGUUCAAAUAUACCCUCCAUAUGUGAAAACAGGGACCUCCACUGAGUCAUCAGAUCAUGUUCUAAAUUUGAUGCUGAGCUAGAGCUUCCUUGAUCAUGUUUACCAGCUCCUUUAUUCCUGCAACUUCUUUCAACCAGAAUGCUUGCAUCCUUUUGACUCUUUUUUAGUGCUUUGCAGAUAGAACAACAAAGUUCGGAGAAAGGAAAAGGAGCAGAAUCAAAAUGGCAACCAAUAGACGUUAGUGACUACCAAAUACAGAUUUUCACUCACUCACCUGUUAUUCGACCUUUCAUAUCUUGGUAGUGGAGGUCUAACCAUAUAUAACCAGCUGAAUGUGACAUCAGAACAAACCAAAGGCUUAUCAAUGCAAGUGUACAAAAAUGAUUGGCAGUUCAAGAAACUAGAAUCAAAUAUUUAAUGACUAGGUGGGGAAAUAGAGCUCAAAAUUUCAGGAUAUACCUUUUGUACAGAAUGAACAUGAACAAGCUUUUAUCAAGUCAAUAUCUGCCGCCAAAUUACAGCACCCAUCAGUCUUCAGUCCACUGCAUCGCUCUAACUCAAAGGUUCUAGACUCCUGAGACUCUGGCAACCUUGCACAAACAACAGAGCCAGUCUGACUCAUAACCAAGUUGUCAACAUCAUGAUCAUCACCAUCAUUCCCCGAAACUUGUGUAUUAUGAUCACUAUCAUCUUGAGAGCCUCCAGAACCAACUCUACCUUCCUCACUAUCACAAAUUACUUCAACACAAUCACUCUCAGAUGCACAAUUAGGCCUCAAAAAACCAUCUUCACAACUACCUCUCGAAUUAUCACCAGCUUGUGCAGUAGCAUGGAUAACCGAACCACCUACUUCAUUAUCCAACAACUUGGGAUCCUUAACUUCAGGUGAUAUCCUCGAAACGCCCAUUAUAACGUUUCCCUUCAAGGAACUAAUCUGACUACACGGCCGAGGCGAUAUACAAGCCCUUUUACCCCUAUCCUUGUCACUCGCAUUAACAAAUUUAGUUACAAGCCUCUUGUUUUCUUUCUUAUCAACAUUUUCACAGAUCCCACCUCCUGAAAUUGAAUGAAACCUACUUUUACCAAGUUGAUUUGUCACAUCACCUAAAACUACCCGAUCUUUGCCACGUCCAUCAGAAAAGCUAUCAUUCUCAGCCAUCGUCAAAUUCACUAGUCUAAAACACAAUUGCCAACUAAAAUAACCACCUUUUUGAACUUUUUUUACAUCAAAGAUCCCAUUUCACAUAUUUCCUGAAAUACGCAAACAAGUCACUAUAUAGCCAACAAAAAAGAAAGUAAGCAAUGCACCCAAAACAACCAGUAAAAAUAGGUCAUGACAAAAAUUACUGAUAACUCCAAGAAAGGUGAAAAAAUGCGAACUUUAAUAAAAAGGGCAUCUGGGAUUUGAUGGGCAUUACAUGAAAAUUAACUAAUAAAGUCAAAUUUAAAAUUAAAAAAAAAAAAACAACAACAACAACAUUUCGGUUGAUAACGUUGGAUACUGACCUCGUGGUGAAAGAUUUGGAGAAUCUAUGGACAAUAAGGAAUGUCUGAGUCUAGAUUGCAGGGAUGCUUGAUAUCAGCUGUGAUUGCAGUUGAAGAAGGGAACCCGGGGGCAGAAAAAUGAAGGGAAGAGGGGGCGGAAGAUCUGGAUGGUUAGGCAAGGAGAGGCGGGACCGCGGGAGGUUUUAGCCCGCCUUUCAUGUUUUGAACAUCUUUGGAGCGCGCCUCGCUGGGUGCAAAUUUACAAAUGGCCAUUUCCAACUUAACCCACGGGCACGGGUUGAAUUGUCGCCCCAUCGAACAGACCCAUCGAACCGACAGCGGCUACCCAGAAGGCCAGAACACAACUGAAACGAUUGCGUUUUAGUUACGUGCUCUUUGUACCGUAAGCAAGGGAAAAAAAAACUAAGAUGUAAAAGAGUAAAUCUUACAAUAUAUAUACUAUCAUCGUUGAUCCAUGAUAUAUAUGUAAAAGUUGAAUUUUAAAUCUAAAAUUUUUUUUAAAUGUCAUUCAUCCAAUGCUAACAGUAUAAAUACUGUCGAUAUAAAAAAAAUUAAUCCAAAGUAAAAACGUGCACCCAAAAAUAACAAAGGUAUUAUGCAUUUUUAAUAUGGAAAAAUUAAGGAGGAAAGUGACAAUGUUGGCAGUGUAUUAACUUUUAUAAAACAUGGUUUCACAUUAUUCUUUUGUCCAAUUAAAAAAAAAGAGAAAAGAAAAAAUAUGAUAUCAUAUUUAAUUAUUUUCAUAAGGAGAAAAAAGUCACCAAACCUUUCAACAUUCAUGGACAAGUUUUUUAUUUAGGUAAAAAUAAUAAAUUUAUAAUUUAUAGUAGUAAUGAGGUUAGGUAUGAUGUCUUUCUCAUUGUACUUUUAUUUUUAUUUAAAAUUGUUAGGGGUUCAUGUCAAACUUGGCACCAUCUAAAGGUGAUAUUUAUUUUUUUUUUUUAAAGUUGAAACAUUAUAUUACUAAGGCAACAAUACAAGAAAAUUAUGUUUAAAGUUCAAAGUAUAUAAAUAAAAAUAGUUAUGAGGCUUUAGUAAAUAAAUAAUAAGUGUGUUUGGAUAGGAGAUUACUUGAAAAAAAUUAUUUGAAAUGAUAUGGUAAUAUAUUUUUUGUGAUUGAUUUACAUGAGAGUACAUUAAGAGUAUAUUUAAGGUGUUUUCAAGCCAAAAAAUAUUAUUAACUACAAAGUUUUUACAAUCAACUUGAGGAGUUUUUCAAAUUGUUAGAAUUUCUGAAAACUAGAAAAAAAAAAUUUAAUUAUGUUUACAAACUUAUUUGAUAUGUUUUCAAAGACCAAAAGAAGUCAUUCUUUUUACUAAAUAGUGUUUGCGAGUUUCUAAGUUUAAUAUUUAUUGUGCCAACUAAUGACAUGAAAACUAUUAAAACGUUUUUCAAUAUUAUUAGCAUCCUAUAAUUUUUAACUACAAAACCAUAUAGGUGAAGUUUUUAGAAGUUUAAGGGGUUAAUUAGAUUUGUUAUGAAAAUUUUUUUAAAAAAAAGGUGCACAAGACAAGGGUGAUACUGGAAUGAAAACAUAUUGGGUAUUAAAAUGAAUUUUUAAUAAUAUAUUUUAAAAUGGGUUUAUAAUGUUACAAAAAGUCGAAAAUAAGGAAGGCAAAUGAUAUUUUUCAAAGUUCAAGAACGCUAAAUGAUAUUUGUCACAUAUCUCUGAAACAGCUUCUAAAAUUGUCCCAAUAAUCUACUAUCCAAAUACACUCUUGGCUCUUCCCCAACCCGAUUUCGCCCUGUCAGAAGUAAUUAUCUCCCUACUCUCUUCAAUAAAAUAAAAUGAACACUAUGCGAUUUGAUUACUGACAAAGUUUUAUAAUCACUCUACGGGUAAUAAUAUAGAGAUUAUUUGUCCAAAUUUAUUUGCUUACAUCACCAUUACAAUUUCCAAUACACCUUUUUAUCUUUUCAAUUAUCUUUUUAUCUCACAUACAUCACAUCACAAUAUGUACUACAGUAAUUAUUCCAAAUAAUAUUUCAAAUAAUCUCCUAUCCAAUCACACUCAUAAUUAGGAACAUUUAGCGAUUGUGUAGUAGUGUAUCGCUGUAGUCUUGAUGAAUAUCUCCCUUUAACUUCUUAUAUGAGAUAGGUGUAUUCUCUCUUCUCAUUUGUGUUGUCGUUUGUUAAAAACAAAAUAGAAAAGAAAAGAGAGUAGUAAACUAGUUCUUCAUUUUCAGUGUUUUUUUAAUAGAUUCUUUUACUAUUUCUUCGUAUCAAAACUUGUUCAAUCAAUUAUUAAUCACUUGAAUAGAAACUAGACAAACCCAUGGAAUACAAUUGACUACAAUAUUGGUUGCUGCCCACAUGGCAAAAAAAGAUGCUAAUUUUAGACAUGGAAUGAACUUUCCUACCACAAUGGUAAUGUUAGGGUAAAAUCACAUUAGAAUUCAAUGAGGUUUCCCCAUGUCCCAUAAAGGGUACUUCAUUAUGAAUUUUGAAACUCCAUAAAAAAUUUUCUUCCUUUGUAAGGAGGCCAAACUAGUCAAUUUACACAACGGAUAUAGUUGCCAAAAUAGAUUUCACUUCUCUGACCAACCGAAAAUUCUCAUCAAUUUCCUUUCCAAAAUCCGCAUAAGUCAAAACCAUAUUCAAACAGGAUAACACCUCUCAUGCUCAUCCAAUUGCCCUAAAAGGCGAAAGAUUCAAGAAAUUAUUUAAUAACUGAAUAAAUAAUUAAAGAAAAGGGAUGAUUUCAGAAACUACCCUGAGAUUUUCGGUACGGGAUAAUUUCACAAAUCUCCCUUGAGAUUUUUGAGACUUGCACUGACACCGCCUGAGGUUUUAAAAAUUUUACUGACCACUCUUACUUUUGAGAUUUUAGAAACAAUUUAGUUCAAAUAGGAUUAAAAUAUUAUUAUCACGAGCGAGAUGAGAUUUUUAUUUCAUGAAUACCCUUUUGGUCCCUAUGUUAAUAGAAGAUUGCAAGUCCUUUAAAAGCUUGAAAUGAUUAAUAAAAUUGAAGGGGUGUAAAUACAAUUCAAGAACUUACCAGCACCACAUGGAAACAUAAGCAAUGUUUUAGCAGCCUUAGCAACGACCGCCUACAAGUUCCAACGGCCAUAUUUUUUUAUUCAGGUGCAAUUGUAUAUAAACAUCACAACUACCUCUACACCCUCGGGAUUGAUUGUGAUUGUGGGCAGCAACUUCAGAGGACAAAGUGGUUAUUUUAGCCAUCAUGAUGUAAGCAAAGGGCCCAAAAUAUUUGUCUUAGUGAAAUUUUUAAAAUCUCGAGUGGUGUUAGUGCAAGUGUCAGAAACCUCGAGGGAGAUUUGUGGAUUUAUUCCUUUUGAUACUUGUGGUCAAUACAUUCUUUAAAAAAUUAUAGCUGCCUCUCUUAGUGAUGUGAAAAGACUAUAAUAAACUUCACAAAUUGUACAAAUUUUAAAAUGAAAAUGAGUUUAAAAGAAAAAAAGAGAAAAUUUUUGUUAAUAUUUCUUUAUUCUAAAAUUCUAAGGUCAUCUAUCUAAUACAUUAUGCUUCAUUAGCAAUUUUUCUAACUAGAUUUAUUAAUCAAUUUACAAAAAGUCAACCAACCAAUUAGGAAGGUAUUUGCUAAAAUAAGUAUUUUAAAAAUUACUUAACUGAAGAAAAUAUCAAAAGUACCAAACAAAAAUAAUGUUUUCAAAACAUGGCUUAAAAUUUUUUUUUUUGCAAAAAACUAACUUGAAAUUUUCACCUAACCGAUAAUGAUGAUAGUCAACUUUUUAAUAUUUAAUUUGUUUUACAUAGUAGAGAGGGUAAUAUUGGAUAUUCAUUGAAGUUUUUUUCUUACGUCAUCAAUUGUUAUCAAGAUAUAUUUUUUAGGGGAGGUUUUCAUAAAUUUUCAAACCUUAAGGAGGUGGCUGCAAUUGAAAUUUUCCCUAAAGAAAAUUAAUCAAGCACAGUAUUUUAUCCUAAAUAAUCAAUGCGUUGAAACGCGCGCCAAAGUACUAACGACCUCGGUCUCCACCCAAUCAUAACCCGACACCUGUCCAGUCAGUCCUACCACGUCAGCCAAAACCUUUGCGUAUAAACUACCCCUUCUGUCUUCAUCUCUGCCCCUCCGAUCUUCACACCCAAAAACACACACUAGCGGUGCCUCUUCAGCUGAAGAUGAUGGCAUCAAGAACCCAAAAUCCCGGCAUUCAAGCGCCUGAAAAUGAUCAAGAAAACCAACAAAAUCCAGUCACCACGCUGGCCACCACUCCGUGGCGGCGAAUUGAGCGGCUAUCGUUGCAUCUAAACCCCUUCUCAUCCAACCAUUAUGAUCUAUCGCACCAGCAGAUGAAGAUGUUAAUUUGCGCGGCAAGAGCAAAGAAGAUUGAGGUAAAAGUGGUGGAGCUGUCGAGUUUCAUGAGAGGAAAGCAUAGGGAUAUACAGGAGCAAGUAUUUGACUACUUCAAGUCAAGGCCUGAGCUGCAAACCCCACUCGAGAUAUCAAAAGAUGAGCACAGGGAGCUUUGCAUGAGGCAGCUUGUUGGGCUUGUCAGAGAAGCUAAUAUUAGACCCUUUAAAUAUGUGGUUGAAGAUCCAGCUAAAUAUUUCGCUAUUGCUGAAGCUGUUGGUAGUGUUGACAUGUCCCUUGCGAUCAAGAUGGGCGUGCAGUACAGGUAAAUGGAUGAUUUAAUUGAUUGGUAUUCAGUUAUUCUGCACAUUUAUUAAUUUUGUUUUUGUGUUUGAAUUGGAGAUAUGGAUUUAGAUUUGUAGUUAGUUAUCCUUGGGAAUGACCCUUUUGAAAUUAUGGCAAGAAUGUUUGUAAAUGUUUCCUUUCCUGAUUUCUAAGUAUUUGUGUGGAGUAGCAAGGGUGAUAACACAAUAGGAGUGUAUAUGUAUGGACUGAAAAUAAUGGAAUUAUCUGGUAGUACAAGAGGGAAAGAACGCGAUGAAUGAGGGAACUUUGGUUAGAAUGUGAAAUAGUCUCUGACUAGUCCUACUUGGAUAAUUUGAACUGGUAACAAGUUAACAUGAGUUAGAUUGAUUAUGUCAUUGCAGUGGAUUAGGUGAAAUAAGAUUUAUCAUCAUAUCUAAUUUUGGGAUUUGGAUGAUGGGUGCACGUCUUAUAACAUGGACAGGGCAAGCCUUUGUGUGAUAUUUCUAGAAAAGGGAUUGCAGAGGACAAUAUACACAACCUAGUUUGUGAUUAAACAGAACUGUUAUGUUCUGCAGUAUGCCAAUGUAUGUCUCUGGAUGUAAUUGGGCUGAGAAUGUUUAAUUGAGUUGAGGUAAUGCAUAUAUGGAGUAUAAUAUAUUUGACUAUCAGUUUUGCCUUUAAUUUGAUGACUGCAUUUCUUGCUGUCUUUUCCUUCUCUUCCCCCCUUUAGAGCACUAGGUUGAACAAUGAUCAAUUGUACCAGAGAUGGGGUGAGUUAACUAGCUUUUGAUUUUUUGUCUUUCUAUCUACAUUCUACAAUAAGGUAUUGGACUAGCCUCUUAGUUCUAUUGGAGAAUUCUGGCCAAUAACUAAAGGAUAGGGUUUAGUCAAAUUAGGACUGCAGGGUGUACAUAUAAGUUCAGCUAUGGUUGUGAAAAUUGUGCAAGUACCUGAUCUGUUGCAGUCCUGAAUACUAGCUGAUUGAUUUAAUAUUUGGUUCUGAAUUAAUUAAUGUUGAAUAGAAUCUUUACAUUGUCACAUCAGUGGAUAGAUGAUGUGUAUUAGAGAUCUAGACUUAUAGCAUUUUCACUGGAAAUUAAACUUGAUGGAAAUUGAAAAAACUUCCAGCUAAUUGCGUCAGUUGCUUCUGCCUUUAUUUCUUUCUGCUUGUAUUAUUGAUAUUUCCUGUCUGCCUUUGUUGCUUUCUUCUUGUAUUAUCGAUAUUUUUCCUGUCUGCUUGGCUUGCUUCUUGCUUCAAACCAAUAUGAACAUCUUGGCCUUUUAAGCAGUUUUUUUCACUCAAACAAUGUUACAAAAGCCAAUGCUUUUUAUGUAAUUUGCAGUCUCUGGGGUGGGUCUAUUCUCAACUUGGGAACUAAAAAGCAUAGGGAUAAAUACUUUGAUGGUAUAGACAACAUGGAGUACCCUGGGUGUUUUGCAAUGACAGAGCUUCACCAUGGUAUGCUCUUCCACCUGAUCAAUACUACUAUAGCAUUGUUACUUGUAAUUUUUUUUUAAAGCACGUUCCAACCAAUUUGUUUUGAAUGAUGAGGUUAUGAUUGCUGUAUUUUCUGUUAAUAUUUAAGCAGACAUCAAUCCCGUUUCAUUUUCCCUUCUGUAGUGCAAGUGCAACUGCAUGCUACAGAAUUUCUAAAACAGUAUCGUUUGAUCAUGUUGUUCUCUUACAUAAAUACUAGGUUUCACAAGUUUGUUUAACUUAUGCAAAGAAGAUGCACUUUCCUGUUUUGGGAAGCCAAUUGAAAGAAAGUUGUUAUGCUGAUAUUUCUUUCCAGGAUUAAUUUUUUAAGUAGUACUCUAAUUGGUCAUAAUCCAUAUUCCAACUGCUUCAGUUUUAAUUACCUUUUCUCAAAUAAUUUGUCAGAGUGCUUUUUUUUCUGAUCCUCUCUCAUUCGGUUAUUUUGAAAAGGAUCAAAUGUUCAAGGCCUUCAGACUGUUGCAACAUUUGAUCCACUAACAGAUGAAUUCAUUAUCAACACACCAAAUGAUGGAGCUAUCAAGUGGUGGAUUGGGAAUGCUGCAGUCCAUGGAAAGUUUGCCUCAGUUUUUGCCAAGCUGAUGUUACCAACUCAUGAUACAAAAGGUACUUCUGAUAUGGGUGUUCAUGCCUUUAUUGUUCCAAUUAGGGAUCUCCGGACCCAUAAGCCGCUGCCUGGGGUUGAAAUACAUGAUUGUGGCCAUAAAGUUGGCCUCAAUGGAGUAGAUAAUGGAGCACUAAGAUUCUGUUCAGUGAGGAUUCCACGAGAUAAUCUUCUUAAUCGUUUUGGAGAUGUCUCACGGGAUGGGAAAUACACCAGCAGCCUGCCUAGUAUCAGUAAAAGAUUUGGAGCUACAUUAGGGGAACUUGUAGGAGGAAGAGUCGUCCUUGCAUAUUCUUCAAGCGGUGUCCUUAAGAUUGCUGCCACAAUUGCUAUAAGGUAUUCUCUACUGCGCCAGCAGUUUGGUCCUCCCAAGCAACCUGAGAUUACUAUACUUGAUUACCAGUCUCAUCAGCACAAGCUAAUGCCAAUGCUGGCUUCAACUUAUGCAUUCCAUUUUGCCACACUUCACUUGGUGGAUAAAUAUUGUGAAAUGAAGAAGACACAUGAUGAAGAGUCGGUUGGGGAUGUCCAUGCACUCUCUGCUGGACUCAAGGCCUAUGUUACCUCUUAUACUGCAAAGUCGUUGAACAUAUGUAGAGAAGCUUGUGGAGGCCAUGGUUAUGCUGCCGUAAAUAGGUUUGGUAGCUUGAGAAAUGAUCAUGAUAUAUUCCAGACAUUUGAAGGGGAUAACACCGUUCUUCUUCAGCAGGUUUUAUCUGGAUCUCAAUCUAUUUUUAUAAUGCUCUCUUGUGAUAUAUGCACUCUGAUUCUCAUGGACACUGAGACAUCUAUAUGCUUAUAAGGACCUUCUGCAUUGUAGUAGAUUAAAUCAUGACUCUUUGAGGAAUCUUGCUGCAAUAGUUGGUUGGAGGGCGGGCUUUAGUAAGUUGAGGUGCUAAAUUGUGUUGAAACAUGACAUUCUUAAGUCUCACUCUCACAGUUCAUCACAUCCGCUUGAAAGAUGGUCAGGCCUGUGCUAGUAGAUCAUAUUAUGCAGGAUUAGGUGGUACAGUGUUUUUUAUUUGAGGCUUUUAAAUUACUCCUACCUUAUAUAUCCACCCCUUCUUGUUUAUAGAUGGUGAAGCACAUCUCAGUGGAUUGGUAGGUAACUUGUUCUGCUAAUUUGUUGCUUUUUGAUGACUAAGAUUCUGCUUUUUCCUCAGCAAAAUUUAUGAUUGAACUAUCCUGAAAGACUCCUCUUAGAUGGUGAUUAAUAUCUAGUGGAAUUGUUUAUUCAAAUUUAUAAUGUAAUUCAGGUGGCGAUUGACUUAUUGAAGCAGUAUCAACAGAAGUUCCGGGGGGGAUCACUUGCCGUCACAUGGAACUAUUUGAAAGAGUCCAUGAACACUUAUCUUUCUCAGCCUAACCCAGUAACUUCCAGAUGGGAAGGUGAAGACCAUCUGCGGGAUCCAAAAUUCCAGUUGGAUGCCUUCAGAGUGAGUUUGAUUAUCUGAUGUAAAACAGGAAAUGGAUAGAAUGCCUAUACCUUGUAGUUGAUGUAACAUUUUUUGUGCAGUAUCGUACAUCUCGAUUGCUUCAAAGUGUUGCUGCCCGACUUCAGAAACACUCCAAAACUCUUGGAGGGUUUGGUGCUUGGAAUAGAUGUUUGAAUCACCUUUUGACGCUUGCUGAGUCCCAUAUUGAAUCUGUCAUUCUUGAAAGAUUCAUUGAAGCAGUGCGAAGGUACCUAUAUUUCUAGCCCUCAGUUCUUCCCUUUUCCUCUUAAUAAUUGAGUUUGACUCUGGCUGCUUUUUGCUUCAGCUGUCCUGAUGAAGGUUCCCGAAGUGCUCUGAAGCUUGUUUGUGAUCUUUACGCUUUAGAUAGAAUUUGGAAUGAUAUAGGGACUUAUCGCAAUGUGGACUAUGUGGCCCCAAACAAAGCUAAGGUAUUAAAGCUGAUUCAGAUGAUAACCAUGAUUAAGAAAAUUACGUGCUUUCACGAUGAUUAUUUGUCCAUCAGAGAAGAAUUCAUAUCUAUCAAGCUAUCUUUUCAGAGACCCUGUUCUAGUGUCUUUGUAUGUUACUCAUUCUGACUGAUGUCACAUAAUGACAUUUGUACUGUCCAGAAUCCGCUGCAGUUCCUGAUUUGAUAGUACUUAUACUCAUGUUUAUAGGAUGCCAUAUUUGUGCAGGCCAUUCACAAGUUGACAGAGUACCUGAGUUUCCAAGUUAGGAAUAUUGCAAGGGAACUUGUUGACGCCUUUGAUCUUCCAGAUUAUGUCAUCAGGGCUCCGAUUGGAUUGCAGACUGCAGGCGAAGCUUAUUCACAGUAUACUCAACAUGUUGGCUUCUAGUUCCAGAGAGAAAGCUGGGUCCUUUUUACUUUCCCCUGUUCUUGAUCUGCACUGGAAAGGAAGAAGUCGGAGUUAUAGUUUUGUUGUUACUUCGAGGAAUAAAAAUAUGAACAGUGGUUACCGCUAUAUUUCCUCAUCUUACUUUCUCAAAAUUUCGAAUUUCGUAAAGAUAGCAGAUUGAUACUUCAGCAGAAAUGCUGAUCCUUUGAUAGAUAAUUGUAACUUGCGUAUACAAAGAAUAUCUAAACGUGAAUCUCCUAUACAAGAAAUAUUCUUGAUGUCACCAAUUUGAAAGGAUCUGCUGUCUCUGAAAGUGUUUGUUCUUUUGAAGGAAAUCCAGAUGCGACAGCUUCUGAUCUAUUUAAUUUGGCUCUCUGGACAAGAGAAACUUGAUGACUUCAUUUAGGUUCCCAUAGACAAUUUAAUCUUAUCAGAUGACGCGUUUGCCAGCACAUGACUGAUUAUGAAUGAGAUGAAAUAAUUUACAAUACCAUCAACAGCAAGUAUUAGUCUCAUUUGAUUCCUCCACUUUUUCUUCUGUAUAACUGAGGAAGCCAAAUAAAGAUGAAAUGCCAUUUUGACGGUGUGCCAUGUUGGGGUUCAUAUGUCACUUCAGUAAACUUUCUAUCAAAUGCAAACUACAUACGACAUGAACACUGUUGGUUCAACUGCUUCUCUUUUGGGAUAUUGUUGUUACAACGCAGUUAUGCUGAUCAAGGCUCCUUAAUUGCCACCACCUAGUUGCCAAACACCAGAAACCUUUGCCCUGGUAUCGUAGCUUAUGCAUCCAGCUGAAUGCAAGCAGACCAAGAUUUAAGUCCACAAACUAAUCACCAAGAAAGAAAUCAGAACAGGAAAACAUUUAGAUAAGAACAAAAAUACAAGGAUCUGCACAAUGCCUUGAAACACAAGUCCCCUUUUACCCAUCCAGUUAAGCUAUGUAAAAGAUAAGAAUUCCAUCCUCCUGUUCAUUAGAGUUCCUAUUCUCACCAAGCUGUUGGUUACAAUCAAACACAAAAUAUACCUCAUAUGGUAUGUGACCUUGGUGGUGGUCUGUAAUUGUAAUAUGCAUUUAUAGCUGUCAAACUUUUCUGCUUAACAUCUUCGUACAUUUUCUGUGAAGCCUCAGAAAACUUGGUUAGACUGUCCAAUACCUUUGCCAAACUUGUUUGUAAGCUAUUCAAAUUUGCAGACCUGUCAUCAAUUUUCUCUUCAUUGUUGCACUCCAAUUCUCCAUUAUUGCCAGCUUCGGGCGUGUUUUCUUUCUUGGGUGGUUCAUCAGCUUGAUGUCCAAUUGACUGGCGAAGAUCAGAUAAAAAGACUCUGAUUGCAUCACUAAGUUCUUGUGAUGGCAAACAUUUGAUGCCGGCAGACAACUCACGACAGAGAGCGAAUAUUGGUGGUGGUAAAACUGGACGAGGAGAAAAUACUCUUCUGCCCUUGUAUCGUUCUUGAGGCUGCAAGAUGCAGUUCUGUAGCCAACUGUUUAGAGCUUCUACAUAUGAUGUGAGACUGUUGAUCCAAUCAGCAAAACUCAAGCCAAAACAUUCUACUUCAUGCAGCAGCUGCAACAUGAUAUCCUUGUGCGCAUCUCCUUGGGCAGUCCCUCCCGAGGUCUUUGAAUGGUAUGCUAACGAGAUGGUUAUAUACUGUGAAUAAUGACACUCAAGCAUCCAUUUCCACAUCCAGAUUAAUCUGCUAGGGAACACCAAUGACAAAAUUCAAACUAUGAGAGUCCUAAACCAACUAAAUUUAGUUCCAGUCUUCAAAAAACUGGAGAGCUGGUACUCGUGAUUUAUGUACCAACCGAAAGGAUCUUGAAAACCACCAAAGUACAAACUUUAUACAUUUAAAAGCAAAGGUAAUGCAGAAGGAAUCUCACCCUUGAAUAAGUUCCAAAAGUUGGGGCAACAAUUCAUCAUCCCUCAGUCUCUCAAUCCGCUUUGAGAUUGAAUCAACAGCAUGAAGGGCAACUGAAAUUCGUGAAUGCAAAUGUUUUACCACAGCUCUGGUUUUGUCAAUUACUUGGGCACUAAGAUCCUUUGCAGAUUGGUGCCUGAGCUGGUUGCACUUUCGGUCAUACUCCUUCUGGAUAGAUUCACUGGCCUACAAAGGUAAAUUGAAAAAGAAGUGAGGUUCAAAACACAUAUAUAGGACAGAAUGCUCCAAUUUGAAAAUGAAAUCUAAGAAUCUAUGUUGCAAUCUGCUGCUAAUAUCAUUCAUCCAAAGCAAAAACUUUGUUGAAAUUCAGAUGUUAUACCACAUGCAAGUGAAUCCAUCCUUCGCAUAAUACCAUAGGACACUUAAAAUCAUUUUCACAUAGUGAAAUUACUCCAUACCAACCUGCAGUCAUGUUUAAACCCAAUUGAAUUAGAUUAGUUUACUCAAAUCUCUGAUCAUAGGGUGAUCCACUGGUUAAACUGACAGAUCAUCUUGUUCAAAAGAGUGUCACAUGAUCUUUAAAUUAGUUAAAUGUAGGGUAAAUCAAUUAUCAGAUGUUUGAUAGUGUAAAUAAGAAAUUAACUAAGAAGAAAUAAUUAUUGGUUAUUGGUGGAAUUUCAAAAUGUUUGAUUUGUGCAAUAGAAGAAGACAGAAGAGUCUUGGAUGAUGCUUUAGGAUAUAGCACUGAGUUUUAUAUGCUGAACCUGCAAAAAUUGAAUGUUAAUCUCUAUAAGAGAAAUGACACUCCAAAUAAAACAGAUCGAGUAUAUAUUGUUGCCCAAUUAAAUUUAAAAUAUUAUUCGCUGACCCUAAAAGUUAGAGGAAGAACCUCAGCGAUUUGUCAAAUAUUAAUCAACCAUAUAAUGCUCUGGCUUCAGUUCAUAGUGACUAUACUAAUUUUUCUUUUAAACGAGAAAUGUUUUUGGUUCAAUUAGUUUAUAUUGACACUGCACUUUCGCGAUCCUGAAAAUGAGGAAAAGAACACACUAGAAAAAACUUUACAGAUAUGUAUGUAUGUAUGUAUGUAUGCAUGCAUGCAUGAAGAACCAAAGACACCCAAACAUCCAAAGAACAUCUGAGGACUACAUUUCUGUUGUUUAGUCAAUAAAAUUUGCAUAUAACUGUACUUCUCAGAGGUGUCUCAAUCUUCGAUUAUACCAUCAUGGAAAAAUAAUGGUACGACACUCCAUUGACAUCAAAGGACAAGCCCCAUUCUCCAAAAUGCUAUCAGUGUCUAAACGCUAUUAAUCUCUUACUUAAGGGAGGCUGAAGAGAAAGGGACAACUUUAGGCUUUGGCAGGGAAUAAUUUUGAUAAUUCAACAAUUAAGGGAAUGGGAAAGCAACACCUAAUGAUGAACAAACAGAAAAGUCCAUUAAAGUUGACUGUACUAUCUUUUGAGUUUGUGCUUUUCUUUUGUCACUAUUAUUUUGCUUUUUCCCACACCUGCUGCCUUCUAUCUGAAGAUUUCAUCCUAGAUAAGUUGCUUAGAUGUACCACCAAAAGAAGUUAGAAGAACGUAUGUACAUACCUUCAUAUUUUGAUGCAAAUGACAUAUCAAAGGAAAACUGAUAUAAUAUGAAUUAAAAGAUCAAAGUACAAGUUAUAUGAAUAGUUGAAGAUGCAGGAGCUUUAAGCAUCAAAGAAGUUCGCAAGGAAAAUAAGGGAAUUAACUUAAUUAGAGCCAAAGAAGUGUAGCAAAAGACAGAAAACAAUGUAUGCUCAUCUACACCAAUUUUCAUUCUGAAUCAGCAAGCGCAAUAUGCCAUUUAAAGCCAUGUCAUGCAACAGACUUUGAACUUCAGUACACGAACCAACUUGGUAACCUAACGAGUCUAUAAAACAAGAAUUAUCAUUAACUUGUUGACAGGGAAAAACCUUGAGAACUUACAGGAUUUAACAUAACAAGAGAAUUUUUCAACAGAGACGGACAAAAGCAACACAAAAGAUGUACCUUGACUUCAUCAUAUAACUUCCUCUCCCAUGCAUAGAGUCUAUCCAAGGUAGAAGAAUGACUUCCAGCAGCCAUGCAGAACUCCUCCAUGAAGUCACUACUACUACCGUCAUUGUCAUCUUUAGUAAGAGGAGUUCUUGAAGAAGAGGACCUUGAAGAUGUUGUCCGCUUCCAUGUAAUAACCUUUGUUGCGUGCUGCUCUGGAUCUGCUCAAGUAUAAGAAGUUUUUUAAAAAAAAUAAAAAGAGCAUGGUCAAUCACACAUGUUUGUGAAGAAACAUUCUCCUUUGUCAUCAUUACCUUAAAAUCUACAAACUUGAACUCAUCGAUGAAGAAAAGCUCCAACACUGUUGCAAUUUAUAUAAAUCUAAGGAAUUCUUGCUGAACUAGAUACCAAACCUUAGUUUAUCAUAUCUCCAAGUCCAAAGGAACAAUCACAUUGCCAGAAUGGCUGGGGAUGGAGCACAGAUAAACAAACAGUAUGCAUUCAAGAAUCUAUACUUAAAAGUGAUGACGACCAAUCUCAAACAACACACGACCUUAUUUAAUUAGAACCUCCUCAAUGUCUAAACUUUGCUAAGUGGAAAAUUACAAAUGAAAUUCCAUAACAUCAUUGAUAUUAACAAUGUUUUGUUAGAAAAAAGAAAAAGUAAAUAAAACUCACCAUCAGAUACGUUUGCAUUUUUUCCUUGGCAGCAAGCUGUUUUGAAAGAAGCCAAAUAAACUGCAACUGGUGCUUUUCCUACAAGAAUGAUAUAAGCUCAGCAUUUGCAACCAGAAAAUUUGCCAUAAGAAGAGGCACAUGCAAUAAUCCAAAUGUUACAUUACUAAAAAGUAGUUAAUAAGCAAGUCAAUAUCACCAACAAAUAGUUACCUUUAGCUUCAGCAUAUCCAACUUGGAUUUUAUUUGCCUCAAGCAUCCUAGAAAUUCCUUUCCCUGAUUCAGAUGCUUUGGAAAACCAGUGCUCAAUGUCUUUUAUACUAGGCAGAAAAUCUUUAGCCCUGUGAGUAAUGAACUCUGAAGGAUCCUCUCUGUCAGUGCACAUGUCCUUCCCCACUGCAGACUUAUCUCUCCUGGAGAUUGACUGCUCAGAACCUGUUUUGCCCACUGAUGUUCCAACAGAGCCAUUCCUUUUUGGUUCUAUGUUCAUAUCCUUAACUUCACUAUCAACUACUGGCUGAGGACCACUUUGAGUCCUUUGAGGUAUAGAUGAGUUCCCAUUGUACACAACCAACUUGCUAUUGCUCUGCACCUUUGAUUUUGGUGUCACGAACACUUCAUCCAUUUCAUUGUUGCUAUUAAAACCCGCAUGUUUUUCCCCAACAACGCCAUGCAUUUUCACAUCAUCGAAAUCCAGAGGCACAUUGUUAUCCCCAACAAAUCUAAAGCUCUCAGAAUCAUCAAUUGGAUAAAAAAAGUCCCAAGAAGAUCCUGAUUCAGGAGGUGGAGGUGGAGGUGGAGGCGGUGGUGGUGGAGGCGUCACGUACUCAUCAUCACCCACAUACAUAUUCCUUGGUAAAUUUGGAAUCAUCCUAACAGUCACAGCACUAGUCCCACCUGACAUCAUAUAACUCAUCCUAGCAUUGGGUGGUGAAAGGGGGCUCCCAUUAAGCACUGGAGAACCUGAAACACCCCCAAUGUGAGAUGGCGAGGGCGACAGAUACGAAGAAUGUGAAGGGGUUUUUUCCAGUUCAGUGGCUGAAGUAGGUAUAGAGGACUCUAUAAGUGCUUCAGCCUCAGCAUAUCUCCUAAGAGCAUUCCCAAUAUUUCUUAAUGAUUCAACAUAAGCAACAUGAGCAGCUGCUAAAGCAUAUCUUGAUUCAAUAGCUCGUUUGAUAAAUCUUGUCCUUUCUUUGCAUAGUCUUAAAGCUUCACUCCUCCCCUCUUUUGAGCUUGUUACACCCAUCUCUCUUUUACCAUCAAAUCAAGCAUACCACUUUAUCAAAGAAACCAACAUUUUUGGCUUUUCUUCAGCAUAAUCAUAGCACAUUUCUCUCAGAGCCUAUAAACCAAUCCUAUUUCAGUAACUAAUGACAUUUCAUUCAUAUAAACAAACUCCACUUGCCAACCAAAAUUUCACAAAACAAAUUAGAACCCAGAAAAGGAAAUGAGCUAAGAACCAAGAAAUCAAACCUCUGCAGUACCUUCUUGCACUCAAAUUUUGGCCUCAAACUUCAGAAGAGCAAAUGCAGCACAAAACAAAGCAACCCUUUUGAGAAGCCUGGAGGCUGGAGCAGCAUGUCUUCCAAGAAACCAAAAUCCACUUAAAAAAGCCUUUCUUUUGAUAAAUAAGAAAAAGCCCACUUGAAAAUGACUCCAAAGUUCUGAGCUUUUUGGUUUUGUGAAAGUAACAUUCCAGUUUCACACUGAAAAAAGGACCCCAAACUCUCGGUUAUUUCAUGAAAGAAUCAAAAGACUUGAGACUGAGAAAAUGUUCUUUUUAAGCAAUAAAAAUGAAAGCUGAACAGACUAGGAAAUAAAAGGAGUAGAUGAUGGGUUCAAUCUGCAUAAUCAAUCCAUCCACGAAUUUCAGUUUCAACCUUUUUUAUGGUCUGAGAACAGAGGAGUUUGUUGUGUAACAGAGAGGUGAUGUGAGCAAGAAAUGCAGAAACUAUGAGACAAAAAAGGAGCAAAAGUGAGAGAAAGGAAUAUGGCACAGUAGAUACACACACUACGGCGGCAUUGCCUUGAUAUCUGUGCAAAUGCUAAUCUACAUUGAUUUAUUAUUGAUUCAUUCACUCAUUCCCGUUUAAUUACUUGCCGAACUAGCCAAAGUUAAAUCAAAUGACAAAAAUGUGUAGAAUCUAGUCUGGAACUCUGCCAUGGAAUGUACAUACAGUACAUCUAUAUAUAUAUAUAUAUAUAUAUAUAUAUAUAUAAACUUCAUUAGUAUCACGAAUUUUUUCUUUUUAAUACUCCAGGAAAAGUUUUUAGUAUCAUUGAUUGGAUAUACAUUUUUUGAGUUUUGUGUUUAGACGAUUUUAGUAUAACAAUUUUAUCCAAAUCUGUUUUUUUUUUUCAGCCUGUCCCAAGUCAAUUAGAUCAGCCAAACAUAUGCGUCAUUUAGAAGCCAGAAGUGAGAAGAGGAGAUUGGAAUCCAUAAUUUUUAAGUUAUAGAGCUUUACCUACCUUGGAUAAGAAAUUAUUUGAAAUAUUAUUUAGAAUAAAUAAUGUGGCAUUUAUUUGUAACGUAAUAUAUGUAAGAUAAAAAGAUAAAAAAGUGUGUUGAAAAUUAUAUUUGUGAUGCAAACAAAAGAAAAAUAUUUGUUUUUUUUUCCUAAACUUCCAAAGAAGGAGACAUAAAGAGAGAAAAUUCUUUCUUGCUUUGCUUACGCAACCGUUUUGUCCCUUCCAUCUUAAUUCCCUUGCCUUAGCAACUUAUAAAUUGGCGUAACUCGUGUAAGAUGCAAUAUUUCAUGGCCAAAGAUCCAUUUUCUUUAUUUCACGGGUCCAUUUGAUUGCAUUUUUUUUGGGAAAUUUUCGAACUUUUGUACCAAAAAAAAACAUUGUAUUAACUUUUUGAAAUAUAACGUGUGUAACCAAUAAAAGAUGGUUCAGCAAUGUGUUAAAUAGGAGAUAUUCUUCAAAAGUACAAGAAAAUCUUUUAUCUCUUAAAAGUUUUCUCGGCCAGAAAUUUCCAUUUAGAUAGUUCUUGCUUGGGUAAAUUCAAGUCAUUUGGAUUACUAUUUUUAGGAGUUUUUGAAAAAAAUAUACUGUAAUAAUUUGAUAAAUAUGAGAUAAAAAAAUAAUUAAAAAUUAUACUUACGAAAAACAUAAUUUUUUUUUUGUUUGUAAAAUAUCACAAUCCAAACAAAGUUGGCGAUGAGCCAAGGCCGUUCGAGUUUAGUCCCAUGCAGCAUCACUGCAUGGUACUCUAUCAAUAUCAGUAUGUAGUAGUAAAUUUGUCAGCUUUGGCAGUUGUGCAGCGUUGGAGCUUUUGUUGGAAAAUGUGCGCCUUGGUCUUUCCAAUAGACCCUCCAAGGCUCCCAUAAAUCAGGCCUCCUUUGGUCCACUCUUUUGAUUUUUUGGAUCCCAUUUUGUUUUAGUAUUAUUAUUGGCUAAAAAAAAAAAAGUUUUAUGUGAUAAAUUUAAUAUAUAGAAAAACUCUUUGUAGUUUUAAAACGUACAAAAUGAUACCUUAUACUUUGAACAAAAUUAUAAAGAUUACGGAAUUCGUUAAACUUAACAGGAACAGACGAAAUAACAAAAAUAUCCUAAUAUAAUUAAGUAAAAGACAGUUCAACAAAAUCAUUUGUUUUCAUUCUAUAGAGAGAGAGAGUUGGGAGUUAAGGAGUAUAAUAGAUAUAUUUGUAAAUGUUUUCAUUAAUUUUAACAGAUUCCGUCACCUUUAUAAUUUAUUUCGAAAUAUAAUGUAUCAUUUUAUACAUUUUGAAACUAUGUGAGGUUUUCUGUAUAUUAAAUUUAAUACAAUGGACUUUUUUGUUUUUUACCCAUUAUUAUUUGAUGGAGAAAAACCAGGGUCAUGGCCUUUGGCUUUUGUCUGUGGGUAUUGCUGUUGCUGUUGCUUUUUUGCUGGCUGCAAUUUGUAUUUUGUAGUGGAGGUCAUGUAGGUGAGGAGACAACCCCUUCGUUUUCUCUUUCUUCUUCUUCUAAUUUUUUACAAUUAUGUUUAAAUUUCUUUUUCUACAUCCUGCGUUUCUAUUGCUGCAUAUAAAUUUUGAUAAUAAUUUGUUGAAAACUUUUAUUUUAUGGAUAAAUAUAUAUAAUUUCUUACAAAAUAUAUUUAAUUUCAUAAGUUAUUAUUAUAAAUUAAAAUAAAUAUAUUUUAUUAUAAAAUCUAAGUAUUUUCUAUUUAUAUGAGCCAUUCUUAUUAUUUAAAUGUUAUGAUAUAUCAAAUGUUGUUAAACAAAAGAAUAAAAUAUUUUUAUCAAAGAUGAACCGCGCUUAGUUUCUUAAAAUAACAUAUGAUAAUCUAAUACUUUACAUAAUGAAAUAAUUAUAUAUAGAUUAAGCCUUAAAAAAUUCUUAAUAAGAAUAACCAAGAAAAAAAAAACAAUAUGUAUAGUAAAUAUGUAUCUCUAUUUUUUAAUCUUAAUAAGAAAGUUUUGAUAAAUAUAUAACUUAAUUUAAUUAUCUUUGAUAAAGAUAGACUACUUUUAAUUUUUGCUAAUGAUUUAGGAUAAUUAAAUAUUUUUAUAAGAAAACAACGCUAAAUAUUUAGUCAUAAAAAGAAAUAUUCAGCAUAUUAUUGUCAAAAAUUAUAUAUCAUUAAAAAAUUCGAAGGAGUAACAAGAUCCAAACAUAAUAAAGAAAAGAAGAAGAAAAGGAAGAAAAAUGAAAAGGCUUAUAAGACAACUUUUCACAAUGAGGGAUAUAAUUAUAUUGUUUGCUGGUAACAUACAUAUGAUUAACAGUCAUAAGAAGGCAACUUGUAGAUUGGUGAAUAUAGAAAGUGAUUUGCUAUUGAUGCCUAAUUAUAGGGAACAAUUACGGAUGACAAUUGGGGCGGGUGCUUGCGGGAGGCUAAUGGGACGGGGCAGGAGAGAAAUUUUUCCCCGUGUGAAAACAGGGCAGAGGACAGGGGUCCGUCACCUGUUAACAAAAAUUAAUAUAUAUGUAUAUAAUUAUAUAUAAUAUUUAAUGUAAUAAGUUACAAACUUAUAAUAAUAAUAAUAUUAGUUAUAUGUAUUAUAUAAUAUAUAUUAGUAUAUGUAAUAUAAUUGAUAUUAUCAAUUAUACUAAUAAUUAUACAUGUCUACUAAUGAAAAUUGUUAAUUAGUUAUACUAAAUUUACUAGUACAUUUAUACUAAAUUCCUAAUUACACUUAACACAAUAACAUUUUUUCUCAAAAAAAUAAUGACUUAGUGAUUAUACUUGUGUCAAAAGUGAAAACUUGACUAUUUUAGUUGUAUUUGUUUAUCUUGUUGGAUUGCAUUCAAAUAACUUUUGCUUGAUUAUUUUUAUGGGUUUUAAUUGUAAAAUUACAAUGAAUAAUAACUUGGUGAUGUGUUAAUACUUCUGUAUUUGAUUAUUUGCUAAAAUUUGAUUAUAGUGAAAUUAUAUGACAAAUUUUUAUUAACCUCGCUAUGAAAGAUGGGGUGGGGUGGAAGGAGCGUGGAGCAGGAUGAGAGCGGGGAAUUAGUGGGCAACAGGGCGGGGGAAUUCCUAGGAACAAUAUGUAAUUUAGCCUUUAAAUAACAUAAGAUAAUGACACCACUUCACUUGUUAUUCCCUUUUUUUUCCUCUCACUGUCCUAGUAUCGCGUAAACCAGCAUCUCAAUAUUUCACCUUGCACUUAGCGGUUAGCAAAAGCCUUUGGUCUGGUGGUUGCUAUCAAGCACCGAAGUCUUGGUAGUAUUGGAUUCAAUCCUUGUUUCUUACUAAAUUGCCACUAUAUAUGGCUGCCUUCAGUGACUUUCUCCUAGGGAGAUACACACGUGUGAAAAAGAGUUCAUCUACACUAACUACUUAAAAAAAAACACAAUAAGUAUGUUUGGAUAGUCAAAUAAUGGUAAAAAAUUAUUUGUUUGCAUCACAAACAUAAUUUCCAACAUAUCUUUUUAUCUUUUCAAUCAUUUUUUUAUCUCACAUAUAUCAUAUCAUAAAAAUGUUACAGUAAUUAUUCCAAAUAAUAUUUUAAAUAAUCUCCCGUCCAAAAAUAUGUUUAAAUGAUAUACGAACAUGAAACUUUUAAAAAUCAAGAGGUGGGCCAUCUUCUUCUGUUUUGUAACUAUCUAUUAGUUGUAUGUAUGUCGCUUAAAGUACGAUUUUUCAUAUAAAAAAAUUAAGGCAGACUUUGGGUACUCGAUAAGAAGUCUUUAGUGUUAAUUUUUUGAUAAAGUGUAAUUAAGUCUUAAAAGUCUAAAUAAUCAUUAUGAAUAUAUAUGAACCUUAGUGAAAUCAGUUAAACACUGGUACUCAUCUGAAAAAGAUAGUCAAGGAAAGCAAACAAAGUGGACAGAUCUGGAUUAAUUAAUUGGACUCAUUUUGCUACCUAUAAAUAUCCAGUUAUUCAUUGGCUGUUUCGAACUUGUGCAACAUAAACACAUCAAACAGAGUGGACGAGCCCAUUCCAAAAUUGUGACGUUAUCUUCGACCCAUUAAUUUGGGCCUACACCUUUUAUCUCGAGUGCUUAGGGCCCAAAAUGGAAAUGCAGGGAAAUCAAAGUUCCCUCGCAAAUACUAGCUUGUAUUCGUAUUCCUGUCGGAAUUGCAAUUUAUCUUAAUUGGUGCUGUCACUAUAUUAUCUUAUGGUCUGAAAUCUGAUCACAAAUCCGCUGAUUAUGGACGGAAAUUCAGCACAAACCCUUGCUUAGCUAAAGAUAUCAUCAUGGAAAUGUUCUGUAGAAACUGGUUAAAUUUUUUACUAUUUGUAAGUUUUGGCGUAACUUUAUUAUCUCAAAUCAAAUAUUCAUCAGAUACCAUUUUCAACGAUCAAUAAGUUUAAUCCAUAAUUCCAAUGGCCUUAGGACUAAAGAAAUCGUCAUGUAUGGUUCUAGAUUUAGUGGAAAUUGCUACUGUGGCAGAAUUUCAUGCGAUCAACUGCAAGAAUUCGUGAAUGCGAUCAACUGCUGUUUCCAUUCCUUCUUGUUUAGCAGAAGAAGUUUUGUUUAAUUUUGUAAAAAAAAAUUCAACUUUCUGAAAUAGUUUCUUAGAACAAUACUCGGCAAGUUUGGAUCGUGAAAGAUUACAACGAUGAAAAUUCUUGGACAGAACAAUUUGAACUCGGCAAGUUUUAAAUUCUUGAGCACAGACAAUAUUUAGCAAAGAAAACACAACGCUGAAACUCUUAACCAAGACUCUAGUUUCUGAACUACAGCAUUGAAGGAUAAAACCGUACAGACAUUUUUACUCGUGAAGCCUUUGUCAAAGAAUUGAGAGGCUUCAGAAAAACUUGAGAAAGGAAGACUUCUAUCCUUAUCUUUGGUUGUUAUUAUGGGUAGGAAGACCUCCAUUUAUUACUACCUUACAAGGCAUGAACAUGAUUCAUGCUCCAAUACUGUAAGAAACUUGCAUUUGUUUCAGGUCAACAGGGGCUU
rnacentral:lncRNA from 1 species